rnacentral:lncRNA from 1 species
CAACAAACACUUUUCAUAAAGUUGUGCAUAAAAUUUGUUACAAGUCCAAUUACUUCGGGGAGACAGCAAAGGACGAUAAGAACUUCAUUUUUUUAUUUUUUUUUGGUUUCUCACUUAGAUGCUCCGUAUUUAUUGAGGUUUCGAUUAAUUCGAAUAUUCGCAUCGUAUGAUUCAUUAAAAAAGAAACCGCUCCCUAAAAAAAUGAAUUCGGAGUCUUUUUAUUAGAAUUUCUGGUUUUAGAUGAUGUAGAAUAAUAGAUAUUAACUCUGUGUAGUAACCUAAUUGGUAACACGUUAAUAACGUAAAUAAUUUACUACAACAAAGUUUAAUGCACUAAUAAUGAAAAAGUGAAAUUUACUAUCAAUAUAUAAGAAUUAAAUCUUUACCUAAGAUAAUUUCUUUACACAUUAGUAUUGUAUUUUAUAAACAUUGAACUUUCUUACCCCUUUUGAACUUCAAUUAAAAUAUUAAGAUAGUUGUUGUGUAUCAUUUCAUAAUAUAUCAUGUUGUAUUGUAUUGUAUAAUUUUAAUGUAUACAAUAUUUGGAUAUAUUAUAUUAUUUCUCGUCAUUUCAUGAUGUCAUGCACCAACAAUAUGAAGAAUAAACUUGUAAUAUUAUAUUUUUUUUAAAAAGAGUAAUGUACGGGGUAAAAUUAUUAUAUAAAAUAAUAGAAUAAAGGAUAAAUAAAAUUAUUUAUAAUAAGGAAGGACAAGAUGAGAAAAAAAAAAUAAGGCAACGAUGCGAACAUACCAAAAUGGUCGUUACAUAAAAUGACAUUCUUGUCGUUUAAUGAUAUCAUGCACCAACAAUAUGAAUAAUAAACUUAUAAUAUUAUAUAUAUAAAGAGUAAGGUACGGGAUAAAAUUAUUAUAUAAUAUAGUAGGAUAAAGGAUAAAAUAAGAUUAUUUAAUAAUAAGGAAGGACAAAAUGAGAGAGAAAAUAAGGUAACGAUGCCACCAUACCAAAACGGUUAUUACAUAAAGUGACAUUCUCAUUGUUUCAUGAUGUCAUGCACCAACAAUAUGAAGAAUAAACUUGUAAUAUUAUAUUUUAAAAAAGAGUAAGGUACAAAGUACAAUUAUUAUAUAAAAUAGUAGGAUAAAGGAUAAAAUAAGAUUAUUUAAUAAUAAGGAAGGAUAAGAUAAGAGAAAAAAAUAAGGUAACGAUGCGAUCAUACCAAAAUGGUCGUUACAUAAAAUGACACUUUUUGUCGUUACGUAACAACAGAUUUAACAAUACAAUACAAUAAAAUUUAUGUAACAAUCAAAAUAAAUAUUAUAUUUAAAAUAUAAUACAGCACAAUACAAUGGUUGUUUGGUAUGAAGUAUAAGGCGGGAUAAGAUGUGAGAUUAAAUUUAUAUCGUAUUUGGUUGGUGACCUAAAUUUAUACCAUCACCCAAACACGUUAUAAAUUUAAUCUAAUACUUAAUCUAUAAUAUCCUAUUUUAUCUCCCAUGUGGUAUAAAUUAGUCUUGGAAUUAAUAUCCCGGGAUAAUUUAGUUCGUUAAGCUAACGACCAGUAACUAAGUUACAACCAUCUCCACACGUGAAAUACUAGUUUUUACUUUCAAAUUCUUAAAUUACUUUUAAACACUCUUUUUCCAUUUCAACUCAAAAGACACAUGCUUCAUUUAUACAUGACUUGUUCAAUUAUUUGUUACUAUUCACGCGCUUUAUUUACCCUACAGUGAAAAAAAAAGAAAAAAGAUAUAGUCCGUAUUUAUCACACUACAAAAUACAGAGUAUACAAUCUCCGUUUUAAACGCAAGGAAAAUGCCAUCUCUUUCCUCUUUUUCUGUUUAAUUAUUUACUCUACUAAAUAUUCCUCUCUAUAUUGCCGGCGAUCUUUUUUCCGGUGAUUUACACGUUUUCCGAUCAUUUCUGUCUAUUUACAGUUUUCAGUCCUGUCUAUUUCCAGCUCUUUUUUUUUUGAUUUUAUACAGUAUUAAUGGUUUCUGAUUGGGAGAAAUGUAGUUGAACUAAAACGGUGUUUUUGGUAUGAGCAGUUAGUUAUUUUUGCGCUUUUUUUUUUCCAUUUAAUUGCUGCUAAUUUAAGCUGAAACCAUAUCUUAUUUUCACUAUUUCUGAGAGGAAUUUCGUAUAAGGUUGUUUUCUGAAUAGUUUAGUUCUUAAAAGAGUGUUUUUGGCGUGCAGUUAGUUAUUUUUUGAGCUUUUUUUAAAAAAGAAAAAUUAUUUUCUGCUAGUUUAAGCUAAAACAUAGAUUAAUUUUCAUUAUUUCAGAGAGGAUUUUCGUAUAAGGUUGUUUUGUGAAUAGUUUAGUUCUUAAAAGAGUGUUUUUGGCGUCCAGUUAGUUAAUUUUUCGGCUGUUUUUGUAAUUUAUUUGCUGCUAUUAAAGCUAAAAUAUAGUUUAAUUUUCACCAUUUCAGAGAGGAAUUUUGUCUUGGGUUGUUUAUCUGAUUAAUUUUGUCAAUGGAUGCUCACAAUUAUCAUGGUUCAGUUAGUGGAAAAAAGAGUAUGGAGUGGGCUUCGAAUGAUUGGAAAUGGGAUGGUGAUUUAUUUACAGCGGCGCGGCGGAAUAAUAAUUCACUGCCAUCAGAUUGUUGUAAGAGCAAACAGUUAAUGUUUCCUAUAGGAUCAGAGAUUCAUCCAGAAGCUAGUAGAAUCUCCAAUUGUUUUUCAUCUGGUUCAGAUGAAUUACUGACAUUAGGAAGUAAUGAUAAAGGGAGGAAAGAAUUGGAGAAAAGGAGGCGGGCGAUCGUCAUUGAAGAUGAUGAACUGGAUCAUGAAGAAGAAGCUGGAUCACUUAAUUUGAAGCUAGGUGGUCAAUUGUAUCCUGUGAUGGAAGGGGAUGAGGAAAAACUGGAAGGGAAGAGUGGUAAGAAGACGAAAAUUGUUGGGGUUUCGUCGAAUCGUGCAGUUUGUUGUCAAGUGCAGGAUUGUCGAGCUGAUUUGAGCAAUGCUAAAGAUUACCAUCGGCGACAUAAAGUGUGUGAUGUGCAUUCUAAAGCUGCUAAAGCUUUGGUGGGCAAUGUUAUGCAGCGAUUUUGUCAGCAGUGCAGUAGGUUAGCUUUCUAGUAGAACAUUUGCAUAUUCAUGUAUAUUUAAAAAAUAAAAUUAUUAUCUCUAGUUCUGUGAACCAUUUAAAUAUGAUAAAAUUAGAUUCUGUGAAAAGUGAAAACUAGAUACAUUGGUUUCUAUUAUCUCUAGUUUUAUGAACCAAGGGAGCCUUGGUGCAACGGUAAGAGUUAUUGCCGUGUGACUAGGUGGUCACGGGUUCAAGCUGUGGAAACAGGUUCGUGCAGAAAUGUAAGAUAAGGUUGUGUACAAUAGAUCCAAUGUGGUCCGACCCAUCCCGGGACGUGCCCAUAGCGGGAGUUUAGUGCACCUGGUUGUACUUUGAUCUCUAGUCUUAUGUACCAGUUAAAAUAUUAUAAAAGUAGAAGUUUUGGAAACCUGAUACAUUGGUUUUUCUUAUACGUAAGAUUAAAUAGAUAACAUUGUCCGUAAUUUAGUCACUGUCUCUGUUUUGAUGUAAUGCCCUAAUAUAGCUCGUGGAAUUGUGUGGUUACCUCAUCUAAAAGGUUGAGGUGUUAGAUAGGGAACACUUUUAUUUAGUUAAUUAUAUCUUCAAGACAUCUACAUUUUCAUACUCUUGGAACAUGUAGUCAUGGAAAAUGGUUAUGGUUUGGUGUUAUGAUUACUUUUGGCAGGUUUCAUGUUCUACAAGAGUUUGAUGAGGGGAAGCGGAGCUGUCGUAGGCGGUUAGCAGGUCAUAACAGGCGAAGAAGAAAAACACAUCCAGAAAAUGUAGCUAAUGGAGCCUCCAUGAAUGAUGAGGGGGGUAUUAACUACUUAUUAAUUAGUCUGCUGAGGAUACUGACCAACGUACAAUGUAAGUUGUUAUCUGUAUUCCAUGCUUUUCCUGCAUGAUAUCUUUGUUUCUUAUGACAGAAGAUGUUCGGCCAGUUAAUUAGGUAAUAGCAUUCUCAUGACGUAGUAAGGUGUGCUUGUAAGUACUUUCGCUGUUAUGGUAACUGGUUAGAUUGCUAUUCUGUAAUCAAGAAGUUUAGAAAGAGAAGAAUGUGUAGUUAUUCUUUGCCUGACAUAGUAUCAACUUGAUGAAUACAAUGAUGUCUAUCCCAUAAGCAGCAUUUCGUCUCUAUGAACCGGGAGUUGUAAGAUAUAACUGAUAGUGGGAAUUGCUUUUUGGAACAGGAGGGUUGUUUUCCUAUACUGUAUUUAGUUUGAAUGGUUGAAACAUCAGGACAGGUUUUUAUUACCUAGUUUGGAUAUUCCGAUUUAUCCUAAAGGCUACACAUGACAUAGGGCAUUGGGUCAGCGAUUAGCAACUAAUAACUGAUGGACAUUAAAAUAGAUCUCGGUGGUUAUUAUUGACUGAUGCUUCUACUGGAACAGUAGCCAUCAAUACUUGUGUACUAUCCAUUGAGGCUGUAUUGUUCAAGUAAUCUAUAGAACUAACCAGAGUAGUUAACUUUUAAUCUGUACGGGAUUGUACAUCAGUUGGAAUAAUUUAUGUAAACUGCAACAAUCGGUGGACUCCAGAAUUUCCAUAAAGAUUAAAUACAUCCGUAGAAGUAGUAGAAAUCAUGUGAAAGUCCACUAGUUCUAUUGUUUUUUUGAGUGAUCUUCGAAAGAGUAGCUGCUGAGAGACCGGUAAGUUUUACUUCAACAUAACGAACUUUAGGGAUAUACAACAGAAGGAUCUGAUGAGUUGAAGCUAUCUUGCCUAUUAAUUCCUUGAACUUGGAAGAAGUUCAUAUAGAUCUUUGAUUUUCUUUUGAAAUCUUCAACUGCAAGUCGCAUUAAUUAAUGUAUAUAAACCAUCAUUAGUCAAAUUUGAGGGCGGGGAUAUCCUGCAUCACAUACUAUUCGCCGUCACUAACGGUGAGGAUCCAGCUCUUUAGGACCUAGACUCGAAUUUUCGUAUCUUUCAAAACAUCAAAGGUGCAAUCCUGUUACGGGUGGAAUUGCGAUUUUAUUCAGUGGUCGAGUGCGCUGGACGACACAACAUUCUCGUUUAAUUGGUACCAUCAAACAGAGACCAGAUUGCUACUAGAGAGAGGAAUUCGUCUGGGUAGAUUGGUUGAACACAGACCUUCCACUGGCAGGCGAUCAUGUUUUCUCUCAUUUGUAUAUUCUUAGGACACGUUUGGUUACAAGUAUUAGGGAAAUAAUCCUUGUAUAAAGAAAAACUAUUAUUGUUAGUACCACUAUUAUUUUGUACCAGAAUCAUUCUAUUGCUUUAGUAAUCCAUGUAUUUAAUCCCUGUAUUAAAAUCUUUGUAUUGAGUUAUCUGCAAACCCAACUACCCCUUACAGUUUAGACUAGCCUAUAAAUUGUUAUGUGACUCAAUUACAAGUCUUCUUUUGUCAUGCUUUGACGAAGUGGUAAUGUAGCUGCUGAAGAAAAGGAGUACUAAAAUUUAGGCUGCUUUGAUCCAUCUUUUCCAUAGUGAAGAAAAGGAGUACUAAAAUUAUGUGACUCAUUCCAUGACUGCAUCUGGUGAGAGUAAUCCAAAACAGAACGAGUUCUAGUUGGAUUAUCUUCAGAGGACUCUUGCUUCUUUAUUGGAAAUUAGGCUUUUCAAAUAACUGUCUUUUGAAGUACCAAGAUUCUGGAGACUUGGAAUUUACUCUGAGAGAGAGAGAGAGACACAAUUGUAUUGCAGGCAUGGUUAAUUCAUUCUCAAUUUCUCAAUGGCUUCUGAUUCAGUUAUUUUUGUGGGGUGUUUGGAAAUGCAUAAAUUUUGUUGAGCAUUGUUAAAAUGUUAAGUGUUAGUGGUAGCAUGUUAGAGUUAGAGUAUUAGGGUUAAUUUUUAAGUUGGAUUGCUCGACAUUGGACAAUAUCAUAUUAAUUUUAGAUGUCUUGUAUUCAUUAAAUCAUCAAGUCAUCAAUGUGUCUCUUCUAUCUCAUGUCUCCUCACAAGGUAUUCAGACCUCUAUGAUAUUGGCUUCUGUCUUGUGGAAUGUGAUCUUCUUAUAUGAGUGGUUAUAGUUUCAAAUUUUCGACCUACUUUGGAAACUUUAAUCAUGGCUGAGACCUUCCUUCCUAGAAGAAAGAAAAGGAAAAGAUGAUUUUGUGCUGAGACUUGAUCCAAGUUAACCUUUAUUAGGCUUAGAACUGAGAACAAGGGAAUUGUUUGAUCACUUUCCUCAUGGAAAAGUGUCGCAUCCUGUGAAAAAUUUCUCAGAUCACGAGCUACUAUGGAGAAAUGCUGAAUGCAGAGAUAAAUAAUCAAAGAAAUAAACAGCACUCAUGAUACUCCAUCAAGAGUUUUGUUAUCUUCGUCAAAUCCCUUUAAACUCAAUAUUCGUUUUGGGUAUGCUAAAUAUAUUAUUAAUUUCUGCAUAAUAUAUCUCCAAUUUAGAAAAACAGUGACGUUGACCUUCCCAACAAGGCUGUUCAUUGACAUAUAGGCUAAAAUUAUUUGGAGGAGUGUAUCUAAUGAAACCACCUAAGUAUUGAAUACUCACCUUUUGAUGACUGCGAUUGCAAGAUUUUGAUGUUUUUUUGUUUGAGAACUCAUUACCAUGUAAAUUAAAUUAAAUCCAGUUCUCUUGGGAGUAUAUAAACAUAUCCACGUUGACAGUGUGUUAGAGGGUAAAUUAACAUAUUGUUUUUGAUGGAAUCUUUUCACUUGAUUAUGACUGAUAAUGUCUCUUGUAAUAUUGAGCUUAGUUUAUGCAGUUGAGAGUCCUAAUUAGCUCAGGGAGUACUUAGUACCGAGUCAGUUUGUCUCUAACAAACUUUUGAGUUCCACAAGAAUCAUGAUAACAUAUAGGCACAUAAAUAGGUACUUAUUUAGAGAUUUUGGUGUAUGUGAACUGGAGGAGUUACUUUCUGGCUUCUUCUCAUUAUGAAAUGCAGCCAAUAGCUCAGAUCAAACUAAAGACCAGGAUCUACUGUCCCAUCUGAUGAGAAACCUAGCUAGUUUGGCUGGUGCAACUAAUGAGAGGAAUACGCCGGGCUUGUUGUCUGCGCCUCCAGAGCAGUGGAAUGCAGGGACAUCUAUGGGGGCUUCAAAAGAGGUCUGCACUAGAUCCAAAUAUUGGUAUUGAACCUUUCUCUCUUCAGCUUCUGAUUGGAUUGAUUUGCAGGAUUCUCUUAAGCCUACUGGGAAUUGUUUGAUACCUGCAUCUGAAGUGACAGAGAAGAGAAUGGGCAGGAGUGAUGUUGAAUAUGGGAUCUCACAAAAUCCUUGUGCUUGGCAGCCUGAUUCUCUUUGUUGCAGAAAAGAGAGCUCACCUAUCAAUGCAAAUGCCUCAGCUAAGGUGAAGCUGAAUAAUAUCGAUUUGAAUAACAUCUAUGAUGAUUCUCAAGAUGGCAAUCAAAAGCUGCAGAAUUCUGAUGCCUCUGCAAACCCAGGGGCUGCAUCUUCUGGCUGUCCUCUAUGGAUAUGUCAUGACCCUCAUAAGCCAAGCCCAGGGACAAGUGGGAAUUCGGGAUCUACCUCAUCCCUUUCACUAUCUAAUUCCAGUGGAGAGGCUCAGGUAUGAGUUUUGUUUUCUAUUGCUGUUUACCAUUGUACUCAUAUGCAAUUUGUUUAGCUGACAGGCAUGUUUUCUGCAGUGCUGGUCUUCAGCUUCUAAUUUGUCCCUAAAAUUUUGAUGAAAUAUCUGGAAAUUGAAAUCCAUAUCUUUAGCAGGCUUGUGUACAUUGUUGUUCUCAUCUAUGCUUUAAACUCGAGUAAGUAAGUAGCUUAAUAAUACUUUCAGCAAUUAGCACUUCUACUUCCCAGCCUUGCUAGGCCUACAACGUUGGCUGACUGUAAUCGUGACUAUGAUUCACUACUUCCACCAAAUAUGGUAGAUUAUGAUGUAAACAUGUCCAAUCUGCCAUGCUAUGUUGGUUGUACAGUCCAUAGAUCCUCCAACGUAUAUGUGCAGACUACCACGAUGUUCCAUAAGUAUGCUCUUCCAAACUAUCAGCCAGACAUUCUGUCAUAGAGGCUGCUAAAUUUACCUGUGCAGAUAUUCAAUUGCCCCGUUUCUCUGUCAUGUGAACUGCGGCUACGAGAUAUGUGGCUCCUAUAUCCUAUAUUUACCAAGGUGUUUUGCAGUAAAAUUCUCUCUUUGAGAAAAUUUGAUUCAGUUGUAUUUUGGUGAUCAAAAAUAUAUUGUUAAUGUUUGGUAAAUAGAUCUUUGAGUUUGAGAUCAAUGUGUUUGUCUCAUAAGGUUACUCUAGGCUGUUUGUCCCUAUAGUGCUAGUCAGAUACUUGAUCUUAGCCAAAAGUCCGAGAAAGAUAUUGUAGUGCUAGUCAGAUACAGAGAAGAAAUUCCUAAUGACUUUGAUUAUUAACACUUGAUGCAUCAAUGGAUAAAGAUGAUUUGUCCAUUAACUACAAAAUUUUGACUAAUUUUCAGAGUCGAACAGAUCGUAUAGUCUUUAAACUCUUUGGGAAAGAUCCUGGUGAUUUUCCUACAGCCUUGCGGAAACAGGUAUUCGGUACUCUUGCUAUAAUAUUCUUCAAUGACAGUGUUCUCAUGUUUCUUUUAUCUCAAUUUGAAACCAAACCUUCUCUAUUCCUGGGCAAUUGCAGAUUCUUGAUUGGUUAUCACACAGUCCUACAGAUAUUGAAAGCUACAUUAAGCCUGGUUGUAUUAUACUAACAAUAUAUCUUCGGAUGGAUAAAUCCAUAUGGGAGGAGGUAAAUUUUUUUAUUCUCAGAAAUGUAAUACUUAAUCUUAUGAGAGGAAGAAGUGGAGCAAUCAAGGUUUUAGGCUUUGUUAUUUAACAAGAAAGGGAAAGGAAACAGAAAACAUAUGGCACAAUGGAUAAUAUUUGGAUAAAAUGAAGCCAAAAAUGAGUGUGAUAUAAACUUGCCUGAUUCUUGAAAUCAGAGAAUUGCUUUAGUUAUCCCCUGUAUUAGCUAUUCACUGUACUUUUCAACAAAAUGAAACUAGCAAAUUAAAUUCCCUCGGACCAUACUUCUUCUCUUUCCUUUUCCUUUACCUUUUCCUGUUCCUGUUCUCUUAAUGUUUUAGCCAAACAAAUAUUGCUCCUAAUUACUUUCCCUUUGCAGCUUUAUUGUGAUCUUAAUUCUAGUUUGAGGAAGCUUCUUAAUGCAUCCGCGGAUUCCUUUUGGCAAACUGGAUGGGUUUAUGCUAGGGUGAAUGAUCGAGUGGCAUUUUUGUUUAAUGGUAUAUUCUCAUCCUUCAUUGUAUCCUUUCUUGAUCUCUCUUUUUCUCGACAAUAACGCCACUGAUAUGAACAUUGAGUCUUUGCUUCUGUACUACAGGGCAGGUUGUUCUGGACACUUCCUUACCAGUUAAAAGCCAUAGGAGCUGUGGGAUAUCAAUUGUCAAACCUAUUGCAGUUUGUGCCUCCGAAAGAGUUCAGUUUUUGGUGAAAGGCGUUAACCUAUCCCGGCCCACUACAAGGUGACUUAAUUAGACAUUUGUUUGAUCCUAAAGACGAUUGCCUUUCCUUUUCCUAUUAGUUUCUGCUUAGCUGGUUAGAGUAUUUUGAGCUGGUUAAUUGAUUCUUUGUUUGUCUCCACUUCCCUUUUAGGUUACUAUGUGCCCUGGAUGGGAAUUACCUGGUCCAGGGUAACUGUAUUGAUAUGAUGGUAGGAGCUGAUUCUUGUAUGGGCCAUGAAGACAUCCAGUCCCUUAGCUUUCCUUGUAUUCUGCCAAAUGUUACUGGCAGAGGGUUCAUUGAGGUGAAGUUAUUUUCUUUUCUUUCCUUAAUGCUUAUUAACUGUUAAUUUAUCUUCUUGUUUUCCCUAUCUUGGAGCAAUCCUGUUUGGUUUAUUAUGAACGGAAUUUGAUGCUCGUUGGUUUACUAAUGACUCUCAGUUUUAUCUUGCAAGUAAAUUUAGUGAAUUACCUCAAUGAAAAGGAUUAACAUUUGGUCUCUGUGUGCAGAGCAAACCUAGACUUGGAUGUCAAAAUAUAAAAUAUAAAUGCAUUCACCAAUCAGGAACAAAAAGAAGAUAUCUAUUUAUUUUUUAACUCAUUGGUACAUGCAAGCUAUUAUAGUAUUAUGUACUAACUUUUUGGUUGAACUCCUUGUUACUAGCCAUGUGUUACUUUUCAUUAGAUCAACAGAUUUUGGUUCAUACUUCAGGUUUAUACUUACCUGAUAAAAUAGAGUAAAAUCUUAUAUCUCCUCUCCUCUUUCUGCAUAAAAAUGACUGUAUUGGAUACACUUUAUUCUACUUCUGAAAUGUAGUGUUUAUUAUCUUUGACUAGGUUGAAGACCAUGGCCUUAGUAGCAACUUUUUCCCAUUUAUAGUUGCAGAGAAAGAUGUUUGCUCUGAGAUUCGUACAUUGGAGAGCAAUAUUGAGGUUGCUGAAAUGGCUGGUGGUUUUCUCCAAGGAACUGAAAACUUGCAAGCCAGGGACCAAGCUCUGGAAUUUUUACAUGAAAUGGGUUGGCUGCUUCAUAGAAGUCAUUUGAAAUUUAGAGUGGGUUCUGGUGUCAACUUGAAUCUCUUCCCUUUUCAGCGAUUCAAGUGGCUUAUAGAAUUCUCCAUUGACCAAGAUUGGUGUGCUGUCGUAAAGAAACUGUUGGAUGUUUUCUUCAAUGGCAUUGUAGAUGUAGGACAACAGUCAUCACUUGACAUUCCCUUGUGGGAGGUUGGCAUCCUUCAUCAAGCCGUGAGGAGAAAGUGCAGAUCCAUGGUAGAAGUCCUAUUGAAAUACCGUCCGCAUGGAGCUUUUGACAAAUCAGGACCACAAAAGCAACAAGAUGAUCGUGACUAUUUAUUUAGACCUGAUGCAGUGGGUCCUGGGGGUUUGACUCCACUUCAUCUUGUUGCUAGUCUUUCUGGCUUUGAGAAUAUUUUGGAUGCAUUAAUUGAUGAUCCAGGACAGGUAUAUCUCCUUUUAUUAUGUGCAUUUUGGUCUGUUGCAUUGGAAACUGACAGUCCCCUCAAUCCACAGAAAGGGGGUGUGCAGGUGGGGUUGGGAGCUUUGGGGGGGGGGGGCUGUGAAGCAUGAUGAGAUCAGCAAUGACCUGCACUUUUUCCUCUUUAUCAGUGUUGAUAUAGUUGCAUUUUGUUCCCGGAUGGCUCUAGAAUACUUAGUAGUUUACUUUUUAGAACAGCUAUUCUGUAUUUUUCUCUGGUUCCCUUGUUUGGAGAGGAAUGAGUUAGUCAGGUAUUUCAAGGAGCUGAUGAUUGAAAUUCUUCAGGUGGGAAUUGAAGCCUGGAAAAGUGCCUGUGACAGUACCGGACUGACACCUAAUGAUUAUGCAUGCUUGCGAGGCCAUUACUCGUAUAUUCAUAUUGUGCAAAAGAAAAUCAGUCAGAAACGAGGUGAUGGGCAUGUUCUCGAUAUCCCUGGUUCGUUGUUGGAUAGCAGUAUCAAGCAGAAACUAUCCGAUGAUCAUAGGUCUGUUAAAGUUGCUAGCUUACAAACUGAGAAGUCUUUAAGGAAACCAAUUCAAACACAUUGCAGACAGUGCGACCAGAAACUCUAUUAUGGAAACUCGGGAUCAUCACUUGCAAUAUACAAACCGGCAAUGCUUUCAAUGGUUGCAAUUGCUGCCAUCUGCGUUUGUGUAGCUUUGCUGUUCAAAAGCUCACCAGAGGUUCUUUACUCGUUCAGACCGUUCAGGUGGGAGCUGCUGAAGUAUGGCUCCAUCUAAAGUAGGUAUAGCCUAAUAUCAUGGUUAUAGAAGAUAGUAUAGAAUACCAUGACUUGUUUUUUCCUUCUGAAUUUAUUGACCGCAAUAUAACUGGAGACUUCCAACUCUUAUGUAUAUUUUAUUUUUUACUAAUUCGUCAUAAAAUAUAUAAGGAGCUCCAAGUACAAGUAGGGAAGUUAUUCUUUUUAUAUGUUGAUGGUAGAACUAGAAUAGAACUGGCCACUGGGAUUGUAGUUGUUGAAGCUGCAGAUCUGAGCCCGAAUAUGUAGUGGAUUAUAAGUAGAUUGCAUUUAUAUUUCAACUAUAUAGAGUACUAAUUUCUUACAUCUAUGGUCUGAGCACAUCAUUUUCCUGCUAAAUUGACUUCUUUGCUUCCAUUUAGGUAAAAUCUGGAUAAGCUGUUACAUUUUUCAUCAACUUGGUUCUUUUUAGCUGUUCUUUGGUCGCCCAAGCCUCCCUUGCAAUUUUUCAUUUUUCUUUGUAUAGUUUUAGUAUAAUUCAUCAUUGUCAAACUUGUCAUUUCUGAUUCAAGAUAGCUAGCAGAUCGACCAAUGGGAAUCGAGACAGCUAAUAAAAAGCUAAGUUGCUCCAACAUGGCAAUUUAGGUGCCAUACUCGUGUCGACCCGACACUAGUAUGGGUGUGGGUAUGGGAUCCGUACCGGAUCUGGUCAAAUAAUUUUGGGUACUUUGACCCCGUCAGACAGAAAAAUUUGAGACGAGAUACAAUUUGAUUCCCGAAAUCAGAACCAAAACUAGGAUAAAUCAAAAGAAAAUAGCAUACUUUAUCUAGGAAAUCAAUCAUUUACUUAUCUACAACUUGAGAAUAAAGAAAUUCACAAUUUACAAGCUAAGUAUUUCACGGAAUUUCUCAUAAUUUAGAGAUAUUUUUAUAUUUUUAUUUUUUUGAAUUAUUUUUAGCCGGAUCCUCCCUCCCGUACCCGUACUAGGAUCCCUAUCCCCGAAUCUUAAAAUUUACAUCUAGAAGGAUUCGACCUCUAGAUCCGCACCUGUGUCGGACACCCGCACCCGUGUCCGAGCAACUUAGAUAAAAAGGGCAGCUCGGUGCGCUAAGCUUCCUCUAUGCGCAGGGUCCUCGGAAAGGCCGGACCACAAGAAUCUAUUGUAAUUUGUACGUAGCCUUACCCUGCAUUUCUGCAAAAUGCUGUUUUCAUUACUCGAACACAUGGCAACAACUUUAUCAGUUACGCCAAGGCUCACUUCAAUCGACUUGAAAGUCUUUAUCUAACAUAUUGAAGGAAUAUUUAUUCUGAAUUUGGUUGAUCUUAAUUGCUGCUUCUAGAAAUAAAAGGGAUGUACUCUAAAAUACCGAUGGAGUACAAGCAUAAAUGCGCAUUCCGUGGAGAAAAAAGAUCAAUACGUAUCUCUCAAGUUUAUAAGGUGAAUCCAUGAGGAAUCAAUAAUAUUCUUUUUUGAGUCUUUCUUAAAUUCAAGUUUUCACUAUUUAUUAUGAGUUUUAAGUAAUAUAAAGAGUCUUACACUAUUGUUAUAGCAGGUUUUAUAUGCCUACUGCCCCCAGCAACUUAUAACAAAAGGCAAAAGAGCUUAUAACCUCAACCAAUAAUACCAAGUAUACUCCACUUAACCAAGAAAGUUAAGAACAAUAUUUCUUAAACCAAGAAUAAAAGAAAUUUAAGAUAUUGAAUAUAGAAAAACAACUGCAUCAGAAUCAAGAUUGAGGCUUGUCCCAUUUGAGAGGCUUAACAACUUCCCAUGUAAAGUCAGGAUCAUCUCUACCAAAAUGACCAUAAGCAGCAGUUUUCAAGAAUCUGUUGUUGCCACCUCUCUUUAAAUCCAAGUCAAUUGACAUCAUACCAGGCCUAAAAUCAAAAUUCUCCUUCACAAUCUUGAGAAUUUCCUUAUCUGGUAUUUUUCCAGUUCCAUAAGUGUCAACAAACACAGACAAAGGUUCCGGCACGCCGAUGGCGUAUGAAACCUGCACAAUGCACCUUCUAGCAAGACCAUUGGCAACAAUGCUUUUUGCAGCUUGUCUUACAAUAUAUGCACCACUUCUAUCAACCUUAGUUGGAUCCUUUCCUGAGAAUGCACCACCCCCGUGAGCACCCCACCCCCCAUAAGUAUCGAUAAUGAUCUUUCGGCCUGUUAGACCAGCAUCACCAUGAGGUCCACCAAUGACAAAUCGGCCCGAAGGGUUAAGGUGGAAUAUGGUGUUCUCAUCAAGAUACUUCUCAGGUAUCACAGGUUUGAUCACAUGUUCUUUGAGAUCACGGGCGAUUUCAUCGUUUGUGACAGUCUCAUCAUGUUGAGUGGAGAUGAGGACAGUAUGGACACGAACCGGAACCAUAGCACCAUUGUCAUUGUAAUACUCAACAGUGACCUGAGUUUUACCAUCAGGUCUGAGCCAAGCACAAGUUCCAUUCUUGCGAACCUCAGUAAGGCGAGCGCCAAGUUUAGUAGCAAGAACAUGGCUAAGGGGCAUCAAUUCAGGGGUUUCAUCAGUGGCAUAACCAAACAUAUGACCCUGAUCACCAGCACCAAUUUCCUCGGGUUUUUUGGUUAAGUGACCAUGAACACCUUGCGCAAUAUCAGGGCUCUGUUGUUCAAUGUUCACAAGAACCUUGCAGUCAUCAGCAUCCAACCCCACAUCAGCGGAUACGAAUCCAAUAGCACGACAUGUAUCACGAACAAUUUUCUCAUAAUCUACAAUGGCUUUGGUGGUGAUCUCACCAAAGACCAUGACCAAAUUGGUCUUAGUACAAGUUUCACAAGCAACUUUGCUUUCAGGAUCCUGAGCAAGACAAGCAUCAAGUACAGCAUCAGAUACUUGGUCACAGAGUUUAUCAGGAUGUCCCUCAUUGACAGAUUCAGAUGUGAACAAGAAUGUCUCCAUUUCUUUAAAGCUGUAUAUAAAAAAUUGGAUGAUAUCAGUAAUUGAGAAGAAUUCAAAAAUCACAAUUGAGUUGAAAAAAGAAAUUUAUCCAGCAUGGUGUUUACCCCAAUUCGAUAAAAACAUACGGUUAUCACCAAACUAUGUUGCAUGGACUCAUCAAAAUGCUAUCGCACCCCUGCCGGAUCCUCCAAAAAACUUUUUGCAGGCUUGACAAAAAGCACUAUUAUUCUCGAUGAUAGUCUUGCUCAUCAAGCACUACUAUUGGAGGAUCCAACACACACCUGGCGAUACUUUCAGAGAGUCGGAGCAACAUAGUCACUAAAUCAUACUUAAUUGAUACACACUGUCACAUCAAUUUGUCAUUUGACAACGGUACAUUCACACCAAACUACAUUAAUAUACAAUGGUAAGUGACAAACUUGAGGUAAGAAUGUGUAUUAAUUAACUAUGGUUAAGAGAUAACCAACAGUUUAUGUAAAGAUACAUAUCAUGUGUCUAUUGGAUUGGUGUAAGCACUAGGGAUGAGUAAGUUAUUCCAUUGAACUAUAGUAUACUGCAAAUGAUCAUAAAAACAGACCCCAAAAAUCCAUGAAUGUAGUGACAGACGUAGUAUCCUAAGUUUUUAACAAAGUAUGAAUACAACAAGUCCAGAGGCGGAGCCAGAAUUUCAAGCUUAUGGGUUCAGGAUUUUAAUCGCCUUAAGUUACUGGGUUCUAAAUUAAUAGUUUAUACAUAUUCAAUGAAUUUUUUAAGAAAAAUACAGGGUUCAAACCAAAGUUACUCGUUCUCGGCACUCUAGCUCCACCCCUGGAGUGUAAUCCCACAAGUGGGGUCUAGGGAGGGCAAUGUGUACGCAGUCCUUACCCUCCCUUGGUAAAGAGGCUAUUUCCGAUGGACUAACAAAGUAUGAAUCUUGAUUGAUAUUACACAUAAAUAAGCUUCAGAUCUAUCUCAAUUCUUGUGUUCUUAAGAUUCCUCUUAAACAUGAAGUUAAAAAAAUAAAAUAAACCCAAGAAUAAGAAUACAUACACUAGACUAAGUUAAAAGCAGCAUCUCACGACCUAAGUUUGGACCAUUUCCGUAAAUUCAAGAACAUAAAAUAUGUGAAUUAGAUCUAAAGGAUUAGCCCAGUACACAAAGACAUUUAUGCAGGAUCACUAGAGUAUAGGGCCACACCCCUAGGGUAUAGUGUAGAUAACCUAUACUAAUGCAAGUAUUUACGUGAAUCAAAUCUAUAAAGAGAAAAAAGAAAAUACUACAAAUAAUUCAAUAGCACUGCAAACACAAAGAACUAAAUGUAGAAAUAGAGAGGGAUAGAGAAAUGAGACCUUAAAGAGUUGGUGCAAAAAGGGAUCUUGUAAAAAUGAGAAUAUAGAGAGGCAAGGAAGUUGGUAAUGAAAGAUGGACAUAUAUAUAUUAAGAAAAUGGGAGUAAUUUUGAUCAUAAUAUGAGGUAGAUUCAUUAUGUAUUUUUACUGGGGUAGUUGGGAUUCUCAUAUUUAUGACUUACCUUAAUUUAGUCAAACUACCUUAAAUAAACAGCUCAACUCCAUAGUAUUAAAGAAUUUAAUACAGAGUUAGUGUCGGUAGACACGGUUUUACUGCUGUCCAAUAAAUCCAGCUCUGUUCAGUCUGGUCCAAUCAUUGUGGUGUCAGUAAUAUGAAUUUAAGUUUGAUUUAUUGUCGGUUAAGGAAGUAUUUAAAUGAUAAAAAAAUUGCUUAAUAUACAUUCUGUAUAUAUCUGUUUUCUAACAAUUGGUUUGGAUGGUUGUUACGUGUCAUUUCAUAAUGUAUCGUAUUGUAUUGUACAGUAUUGUUUAAUUAAUAGAACGUUUGGAUUGAUUGUAUCGUUUACCGUUGUCUCAUGAUGUCACGCACCGACAAUAUGAAGAAUAAACUUGCAAUAUUAUCAAGAAAAAAUAGGAUAUAAAGUAGAAUUAUUCUCUAAAAAAGCAGGAUAAAGAAUAAAAUAUGAUUAUUUAAUAAUAAGGAAGGGCAAGAUGAGAGAAAAAAGUAAGGUAACGAUGUUGCCACACCAAAUCCGUCGUUUCAUUAAGCGACACUUUGUAACGACAAAUUUAACAAUACGAUACAAUAAAAUUUAAGUGACAAUCAAAACAAACAUUAUAUUUAAAAUAACAGUACGAUACAAUAUAAUAAGUAACAACCAUCCAAACAAGCUGUAAGGGAAUUGUACACUUCAAAACAAAUAUUUAUUUAAUAAUCUUUAUCACAACAGUAUUUGCCUAAAAUAUGUUUUAUCUUUAUUAAAAGUCUCCUUUUAUUAAUUAAUACUUCACUAAUUGAGGUAAUAAGUACGAAUUUGAAAUAAAUAAAUGUUUUUAUGUUUUCUGAAAAGCUAAAAAGUUUAAAAGAAAUUAAGUAUAUUUAGAGUGAAGAAGCAUAAUAUAACGUGAAAGUAGAGUGAGCAAUUUGUUGGGGCCAAUGAAAUUAUAUAAAACAUAUGUAAUUAGUUUUUCAGAUCAUUUUUUUUAUAUAGAACAAUUAUAUGUACUGAACUUGCAGUAACCAUAAAACUAGUAUUGUGGUAUGUAAAAUGUUAGAAGGAAUAUGCAAUCAUACACGAUUAGACAAAAUUAAAAAUGGUCACAUUAGACAUAAUAUACAAAUAAUACAAGUAGAGGAUAAAAUGAGAGAGUGCUUAUUAGGAAUGAAAUUAACAAUCAUAAUUGAGUUGUUAAAACAGGAUUAGUUAGAUCGAAAUUUGCAUGGAUAAAAAUUGUGACAGAUUUAUAAUCUCAUGGAAUUCAUAAAAUAUUAAUGAGAAAUAAACCGUACGGGAAGAAUAAAAGUUAUAUAUAAGCGAUUCAAACUAGUUGAAAUUAAUUCUACAAAGCAAAAAAAUAUAUUAGUAACUCAUAUAACUAAAAUCAAUUAAUUUAAAUUGAAGUGUAAUGCUUGUGUUUGACGUGUAAUGGCUUGGUUGGUAGAUGUCUGUGUUUUUUUAGGAAGAAUAAGACUUGGAUUUAGUGGGUAGAAACAAGCUUAGUUAUCAUAUUAAGAGAUGCUAUUCUCGCAUAGAGCUAUAAAGUUGAAACAUCCUUCUCAUGUUGAUGUUGUCUCGUAACAAACCCAUCUUCCCUCCAACAAAUUCAACCUCACCAAAAUCCAACCUACCUAUGUAAUGUUUUAUUGAGGGUUGCGCUGGAGCGAUAAGUACUUUUUUAUUUUUAAUCAAAGGUUCACAUUCAAGCUCUAGGUAUAGAAUUGCAUUUCUUAUUGAAUGUUUAUCUUUCCAACAUGAAUCCAAAUUACUUGUGUUAUGCACGACACUUGAAAUCUGUCUGUGCUCUGCACGAUCACUUGGAACCUAUUUGUUCUGCAAGGUCACUUGGACCUACUUGUGCUCUUCAAGGCUACUUGAAACUUAUCUGUACUUUGCACGAUACUUGGAACCUACAUGUGCUUUGCACAGUCACUUGGAACAUACACGUACUUUAUAUGGUCACUUGGAACCUAUGCAUGCUUUCUACAACCUUUGGAACCUAUUCGUGCUCUGGACGAUCACUUGUAACCUGCCGCUGCUUUGUACAGUCACUUAGAACCUACCUGUACUAUGCACGACAGCUGGAACCUACCCAUAGUGCACAAUACUUAGAACAUACGCGUGUUCUAUACGACACUUGGAACCUACUCAUACUUUGCAUGAUCAGCUAGAACCUACCCGUACUCUAUGUUGGUGUUAUUUUAUAUUUUAUAAUGUAAAGUCAAAAAUUCUUUGUAGUCCCUUUUUCUUCUUUACUUCUUUGUUUUUUGUGAAAGACAAAGUGUCCCUCAUUGCUUGUGAAAAGUCUUUUUCUUCACUUUAUAAUAAAUUACUUUGUUGGGCUUGUAAGGAGCUAGUAAAAGGGAGUGAUCUCGCGCACAUGAGAAGUUGGUCCUGAAGGCAAAACGAGUCGAUCCCCCCCCCCCCCCCCCCCCCGCAUGCGAGAUAUACGUGAGGCCUAAUCUAAGUCUGGUUUUUGCUAAAAUUAUUUCUUCAAUUUUUGAGCUUAUCAUAAAUGUGUCCAAAUACAUGUUUACCAGAAUAUGUCCAAAUUCUUUCUCUUUGAAUUGGAUUUUGUAACGUCCAAUUUAUCAUUUUGUAACAGCCAUGAUUUAAUUCUUGUAACAGAUGUAGUUAAUUGGUAAUGACUCAAUUUUGAUUUCUGUAACAAUGGUGGGCUCUCAAUGUCUUUAUCUUAUGUUUCUUAUGUUUUGAUGAUCUAACAAACUUAGUGUUAAAGAACCAGAUAGAGAACCUGACUCACUUGGUACACAUCUCAAAUGAACAAAGUUCAGUCUGAUAUUCAGCAAAUGAACUACUACAAAUAGGAACACAACAGGGACCUGAUCCCUUGGAGUUCUCUUAUAGAAGUACAAGUCAACAACAGCUGGAACGCAAAUGCAAAAAGUGACUGUCUGCAUACUGUACACGCGACAGUGUAGCAGAUAGUGCGGUAGUCAUUUCUUAUUGGGAAGAAGCGUGUAUCAAGAAUUGACAUCACCAUUAUGAUGUCUUUGGUAGUAUAACAACCUGGUACAAGGCACAAUACAUUUACUUGAGCAUUUUAGUGAUAUUCUCUCAAGCAGAAAAGUGUUCAUCCAGUAUUGAAGUCACAAGUGAAUCAAGAACAAGAAGGCAACUCUACUAAAGAAAUCAGUUUCACAAUGAGUCUAUGUGUAUCCGUAGUUGAGUUGUAAUCUUGCUAUUUGUUCUUCAUUGUAACUCCUAUCUGGCUUUCUUAGAAGCUGUGUUUUAGGAAACCCUCUUGUAAAAUCACUAAACUCUCUGAGUUUAUGUUGUGACUAGGUCUNNNNNNNNNNNNNNNNNNNNNNNNNUUAGUUAAGUUGAAUUCUUUGUAAUAGAGUCAUUACAAAGUGACUUGUAAUAGGUGUUUACAGGUUAGUAAAGUUGAAAGCCUACAAGUGUAAGUCGUGGUUUUUGUCCCCUUGAGUGGGAUUUUUCCACGUAAAAAUCUGUGUCUCCUUUAUUUACUGCUUCAUAAGUAUUCUCAAUAGAAACUCAUAGAGGAUCAGGUGCUCUAUAGUUUGGUGGACUCAUAUAAGCUAACAAACAACUAUAGAUUAAUUUCUUCAUCUGUAACUAUUCAACAGCUUUGCCUACAAAAAACAAUCUUCUUUGUGAAUAAUCUUACAUAGAAAACACACCUUCAUCUCUCUUUUUCAAACGAUUUCUGGGCAAUUAUUUUGUGUAAAUUCCAAACUUCCAGUCACGAGUGCACGUGUUUGGAGGUGUUGUGGAACAUUGGAGAGCGACCGGUCUUAACGAUUUGUAAUCGCUUUCAAGGCAGUGGCUUGCCAUGACACAAUAUUUUUGAUAAAUUGUUCUUCUUUCCUUCUUGUUCUUAGUCAAUAUUAUCUACUCAUUUUUCUUAUAAUAUGAAAGCGAUUUAAUAUACAAUAUUGACAAAUGGCUACCAGUUUGAAUAAAACACUUCCUGAUCUAUCAAAACUUGGGCCUUUAGAUGGAAACAAUUAUAAGUGUUGGUCUUAGAAAUUUUUAAUUUACUUUGAACAAUUAGAAGUUGAUUAUGUUUUGUUUAAUGAACCAUCUGCUGAUGUUGUUGCUGUUAGUUCUAACACUGCUGCUACUGUUGUUCCUGAUGAUGUUGUUAAAAAGAAAUUUGAAAAGGAUAAUAAAAUUGUUCGAGGGCAUCUGCUUAACCAUAUGACUAACCCUCUCUUUGAUUUGUUUAUAAAUUAUAAAUCUGCUAAAGUCAUAUGGAAGAGUUUGGAGAAGAAAUAUGGUGCAUAUGACACCGAAAAAAAGUAUGUCGUUGGUAAGUGGAUCAAGUUUAAGAUGGUUGACGAUAAGCCAAUCAUGGAGCAGGUUCACGAGUAUGAAAACUUGACUGCUGAUGUUUUGAACAAAGUCAUGGAGAUGUGUGAGAUUCUUCGGGCUAAUGUUCUGCUUGAAAAUUUUCCACCUUCCUAGAGUGAUUACAGGAAUCAACUGAAACACAAGAAGAAAACUUUAACUCUUCAAGAACUGAUCAAUCACAUGAGGACUGAGGAAGCAAACCGUCUCAAAGAUAAGGAGUCUGAAUGGCUUAAGGAUAAGAUGAAUUCUCUCUCUCUUAAUUCUUCUAAAGCUAACCUUGUAGAAUCUUCUCAUACUUUUGUGAAAGACAGGUUUAAAGGAAAACAAAAGAAAGGUCAGAAGAAAGUAUAUGUGAAGAAGCAGAGUUACUUCAAUAAACUGGAGGGCCAUAUUUAAAAGUCGAAAAGACCAUGCUAUGUCUGCGGCAAAAUUGGCCACAAGGCUUUUCAGUGCAACCAAACACAAGGACUAAGCUCAAAGAAUGGAGGAAAAGCUCCAGUCCAAGCUAACCUUAAUGAGGGUGGUGAUGUCAUUGCUGCUGUGGUUGUUGAGGCAAACAUGAUGGCUAACAAGACUGACUGGAUACUGGACACAUGCGCUUCAAGGCACCUUUGCGCCAACAAGGAGCUGUUUCACAAUUUUGAAGAAUCUGCUGAUGGCGAGUGUGUCUACAUGGGUAACUCCACUACAACUGGAGUAAUGAGUAAAGGAAAAAUUCUCCUUAAGUUAACUUUUGGAAAAACCUUAGCCUUGAACAAUGUUCUGUAUGUAUCCUCCUUUUGUAGAAACUUAAUUUCUGGUGCGCUUCUCAAUAAAGCAGGUCUUAAACUUGUUUUUGAAUCUGAUAAAAUUGUUAUUUCUCGUGGGGAGACUUUGUUGGGAAGGGUUACCUUAGUGGGAGUUUAUUUGUACUGAAUAUCACUCAAGAGAUUACUAAUAAUGCUAGUAUUUUCAAUUCUGCUUAUAUUGUUGAGUCUAUUAAUUUGUGGCAUAGUAGACUAGAUCAUGUUAAUAUUGCUUCUAUUAAGAGACUUGGAAAAAUAGAAUUAAUUCCUACAGUUAAUGUUAUAACUUUUCUAAGUGUCUUGUUUGUGUAGAAGCAAAACAUACCAAAAAGCCUUUUAAGAAUGUAACUAGUAGAAAAAUAGAAUUUCUUGAACUAGUGCAUUCAGACUUGGCAGAUUUCAAAAACACUGUUAGUAAAAGUGGAAAGAAAUACUACACCACCUUUGUAAAUGACUUUUCUAUAUACACUAAGGUAUAUCUUCUUAAGUCAAAAGAUGAGACUGAAAAUAUGUUUCUGAAAUACAAGGCAGAAGUCAAAAAUCAAUUAGAUAGAAAAAUCAAGAGACUUAUGUCUGACAGGGGUGGUGAAUAUAGUACUAAUAUUCUAAAAGCCUUUUGUAAGAAAAAUGAUAUUAUACAUGAGGUUAGUGCUCCCUAUACUCCCCAACAAAAUGGUGUAGCCGAACGGAAAAAUAGAACCCUUAAGGAAAUGAUAAGUUCUAUGCUUUUGAGUUCGGGUUUAUCUGAUAAUAUGUGGGGGGAAGCUGUUUUAUUUGCAUGCUAUGUUCUUAAUAAAGUCCCUCAUACAAAAUUGGAUAAAAUUCCGUAUGAGUUAUGGAAAGGGUUUUCCCCUAACUUGAAAAUUCUGAAAGUGUGGGAGUGUUUGGCUAAGGUUGGUCUACCUGAUUUUAAACAAGUAAUUGUUUGACCCAAGACUUUUGAUGCUAUUCUGAUUGGUUAUGCUUAAAAUAGUGCUGCAUAUAGAUUUAUGUCUUUGAAUGAUAGUUCUAUUUGUGAAUUUAGAGAUGCAGAAUUUUUUGAGCAUGUUUUUCCAUUGAAAACUGAUAUGCCUAGUGAUGUGCCUAAUAAUGCUUCUACAUCUAUGUCUGUUAUUUCUCAUAUUGUGUCUUCUUCUAGUGUUACUGCUAAUGAGCAUAAAAAUGAACUUAGAAGGAGUAAGAGGCGUAGAAUUGAAGCUAACUUUGGUCCUGAUUUUAUUACUACUUUCUUGACUGAAAAUAUUGAUCUUGAUGUUUUGAGUGAUGAAUUAGUGUUAAUCUAUUUAAUAGAAGAAGACCCUAAGACAUAUAGUGAAGCAAUGGGGUCAAUAGAUGCUAGUUUUUAGAAAUAGACCAUUAAAAGUGAAUUAGACUCUAUAGUUUCUAAUCACACUUGAGACUUGUCUGAUUUGCCUAAAGGUUGUAAACCCAUAAGUAGCAAGUGGAUAUUUAAGAAGAAAUUGAGACCUGAUGGUACAAUUGAGAAAUAUAAGGCUAGACUUGUUAUUAGGGGUUUUAACCAAAAGAAAAACAUUGAUUACUUUGACACUUAUUCUCUUGUGACUAAGAUGGCGACUACUAGAACUCUUGUUGUUUUAGCCACUAUUCAUAAUUUAGUGAUACAUCAAAUGGAUGUUAAAACGGCUUUCCUAAAUUAUGAUUUAGAGGAAGAGAUCUAUAUGUCUUAACCUGAGGGAUUUGUGAUCCAAGGAUAGGAGAAUAAAGUAUGCAAAUUGAGAAAAUCUUUGUAUGGUCUAAAGUAGGCACCUAAGCAAUGGUAUGAAAAGUUUAAUAGCACAUUGGUGGGUAAUAGUUUUGUUGUUAAUGCAUCUGAUACUUAUGUUUAUUCCAAGAUGAUAAGAUCAGAUUGUGUUAUUAUAUGUCUGUAUGUGGAUGACAUGUUAAUCUUGGCCCUAAUGUGAAUGUUGUUAAUGAGACUAAGAAUUCUGUGUCUUCUAAAUUUGAAACAAAAGAUCUUGGAGCAGCAGAUGUGAUUUUAGGGAUUAAAAUUAAAAGAAUUUCUAAUGGUUUUUCGUUAUCCCAGUCUCAUUAUAUUGAAAAGGUUUAAUUGUUUUGAUGUAGCACCUGUGAGAACUCCUUAUGAUCCUAGCACACACUUGAGAAAGAAUAAGGAAUCUAGUAUUUCUCAAACUGAAUAUGCUAAGAUAAUUAGUAGUGUAAUGUUUCUCAUGAAUUAUACACGACCAGAUAUUGCUUAUGUUGUUAGUAGAUUGAGUAGAUAUACUCACAAUCCCAGUAGUGAACUUUGGAAUGUUGUUCAUCGUUUGUUAAGGUAUUUGAGAGGUAUUAUAGAUUGGUGUUUGCAUUUUAAUAAUUUUUUUUUGUUUUAGAAGGAUUUUAUGAUGCAAAUUGGGUUACUGACAAUGAUGAAGUUAGCUCCACUAGUGGCUAUGUAUUUACUUUGGGUGCAGGUGCUAUUUCGUGGAAGUCUUCAAAACUGACUUGUAUAGCACGAUCUACUAUGGAGUCUGAAUUCAUUGCUCUUAGAUUGGCAGGCAAGAAGUUGAGUGGUUGAGAAACUUAUUGGCAAACAUGACUUAGUGGGGAAGACAAGCUUCACUAGUUUCUCUACACCGUGACUCACAUGCGGUAAUUGAGAUUGCCAAAAAUAGUGUGUACAACGAAGAAAAAGACAUAUCCGCAUAAGACAUGGUGCGGUAAAACAAUUGUUGAAACAUGGUGUUAUUUCCUUGGAAUAUGUAAGAUCCAAAAAAAUUUGGCGGAUUCUUUAACCAAAAGUUUGGCAAGGAAAGUUAUCCUUGAAACGUCGAGGGGGAUUGGGUUAAAGCCCAUGGAUUGAGAAAGUAUGGUGGAUACCCAUCUGUAGUCAAACGAAGCCAUAUGAGACCUCAAUAUGCACUACAUUUUCCAUUCUUAUGGCGUGCGGUAGUGCUUUAUAAGGUUGAGCUUAUUUUGUUCUUAAUGAUUCUAUAGCCUUAAGGUGGUCUAUGUGUAGAUAAACUUGAUGGAAUCACCUAUGUAAGUGUAAAGGUGCAGUCGCCUUUUAUGAAAGACUUGGGAUGUCUUUCUAGAACACUCAUGAGACCCAAGGUACGUGCAUGACCAUAAAAGCACUUUGUUAGUAUCGCGGAGUUUAAAUAGAAUUAAGGAUAUAGUAUCUGUUGUGGGGUCUCUACUAAUGUCCAUUCAGUUCAAUAGUAUUUCACUUUUUGGAUAUUAGUUGUUGUCUCACUUCACUACGUGUCAAUUCAAAUCGAAAGAUAUUGACACUUAAGUAUAUGUUCCUUCUUUUGCCCAGAAUUACUCUUAUUCUAUUUUGUUUUUGCAUUAGUGGGGGAUUGUUGGCAUUAUUUUAUAUUUUAUAAUGCAACGUCAAAUAUUUCUUUAUACAUAACAUAUGAAAAGACAAAGUGUCCCUUAUUGGUUGUGGAAAGUCUUUUUUUUUCACUUUAUAAUGAAUUACUCUUUGUUGGGCUUGUAAAGAACUAGUAAAAGGGAGCGGUCUUGCGUACAUGAGAAGUUGAUCCUGAAGGCAAAAUGGGUCGAUUUGCACCCCCCCCUCUUUCUUUCGCGCGAGAUAUACGUGAGGCCUAAUCCAAGUCUGAUUUUUGCUAAAAUUAUUUCUUUAAUUUUUGAGCUUAUCAGAAAAGUGUCCAAAUAUAUGCUUAUCAGAAUAUGUCCAAAUUCUUUCUCUUUGAAUUGGAUUUUGUAACGUCCAAUUUAUUAUUUUGUAACAACCAUGAUUUAAUUCUCGUAACAGCUGUAGUUAAUUGGGUAACGACUCAAUUUUAUUUUCUAUAAUAACUACAGAUUAAUUUUAUCAUCUGUAACUGUUCAACAACUUUACCUACAAAAGGCAGUCUUCUUUGUGAAUAAUCUGACAUAGAAAACACAUUUUCAUCUCUCUUUUUCAAAGAAUUUUCCGGCAAUUGUUUUGCGCAAAUUCCAAACUUCCAGCCAUAAGUGCACGUGUUUGGAGGUGUUGUGGAACUUUGGGGAGCGACCGAUCUUUAUAAUUUGCAAUCGCUUUCAAGGUAGUGACUUGCCACGACACAGUAUUUUUGAUAAAUUGUAACACAGUAUUUUUGAUAAAUUAUUCUUCUUUCUUUCUUGUUUUCUUAGUCAAUAUUAUCUACUCAUUUUUCUUACACUCUACACAACCAAUUAGAACCUAUCAGUGCUCUGCAUGACCACUUGGAAUCUACCUCGUGCUAUCUAUGGUUUGUAAAGCCAUUUGGAAUCUAUCUAUGCUCACUGUGAUACUUAAAACUUACAUGUGCUUUGCACGAUUAAUUAGAACCUAACCGUGCUCUGCAGGACCACUUGAAAUCUAUUUGUGCUAUGCACGACAUUUGAAAUCUACCUGUGCUAUGCACGACACUUGGAAUCUAUCUGUUCUAUACGAUACUUGAAAUCUACACGUGUUUUGCACGAUCAUUUGGAACCGAACCGUCUUAAUUUUUUUUAUAUGCAUUACACAUGUUUUUCAUAUGUUUUGUAUCUUAAAAAUUAGGUAAUGGCCAUUAACAUGAGAUAUCGGGUAAAGGUCCUAAUUCAUGCGAUAUUUUGCUCAAACUUAGCUUUACACUCUUUUGUCACAAGAUAGUUAUUUGCGUUAUUUUGGUUUGGGACUCAAAAUGAACCAUCUUUUAUUGUCUUUUUCUUUCCUUCUAUCUGCUGCCAAACUUUUAUUUGGAAUUUAAAAUACAGGGUAUGAAUUUAAUAAUUGAUACAAAAUUAAAUAUCGUUUAAAUAAUAAUGUGAAAAUUGAAUAGUGAAGGUACAUCUUACAACUAUUAACUAUCAAGGACCAUUUAAAGAUGUUUCUCCGAAGAUAAAUGAACACGAAAAAUAUACAUUAAAAGGAAGCCAAUGGAUAAUAAGCCUUUGAAAAAAAUAAAUAGAGAAAAUAACAAAAAAAAUUCCUUAUGUUUGUGGGUUGAUUCGAAUAAUACCUUGAAUAUACUCAUGAGCAUUUUUUUUUAUCCUUUUAAGUUAUUAAAAAUGGUAUUUUUUAUUUUAAUCAAAUGUUUUAAAAACUAGUGUUGUUAGAUUUAACAUGAAAAUAAAAAAAAUAUUUAACUAGAGAAUCAUGAAAAGUCUACUCAAAUCAAGAAAAUGCAACCCUAAAAAUUACGCUACACGUCAAUAAUCAAUCAAAGAUGACAAAAAUUACACUCGACACUAGACGAAAGUAAUAAAAACUGCAAAGCUUUACCUCCAAUGUGAGUUUUUAUUAAAUCUUUCUUUUGUCUAACACAAUCUCUGCUAGUUCUAAUAGUUAAGUAAGAUAAAAAAGAAAUGCUCAUUUUUUUUAAUAAAUUUGAAGGACCAAAAUUACUUAGGAGUUAUUUAACAGAUUACUUUAAUCUUAUCUAGAACAUAAGAGAUUAUUGUCUUUUUUUUUCCUCAAAUAAAUACUCAUUUAGGGGGUGUUUGAAGAAAAAUAUUUUUCGGAAAAUAUUUUCUCAUUUUUCACUGUUUGGUUGCACAAAAUUGUUUGAAAAAUAUUUUCCUAGAUAUCAUAUUUUCCUAAAAUUGGAGGAAAAUGACUUCCCUAGAAAAAAAUUAGGAAAACAAUUUCCAAAAACUCUCCCUCACAUCUAACCCAACCCCCUCCCCCUUCUCUUCCCUACCUUACCUCUCCCGUCCCCCUCUCCCAAAUGGCUUUCUUUUUUUUUUCUUUUCAGAUUUUACAUUUUCUUUCUUUUUCGUCACCACCCAUCCUGCAAAACUCCCUAGAAAAAAAUUUAUUUAUUACCCUUUUUUUGUAUUUUUCAAUUUCCUGUUUUUUUUUUAUUUUUCUGCACCACUCACCUACUCUAACCCCGUCAAUUUAUAGAAUAAGUUAUAUAGAAUAUGGUUUUUUUUUUCAGUUUACAAGUUUGAUAUUUUAUGAGUUCCAAGGUUAUGAGUUCAGAGGAUUAUGUGUUUGGAAGUUUGCGACUUUAGAAAUUAUAGAGUUUACGGGUUCGAAAGUUUAGCGGUCCAGAAGUUUAUGAAAUUUGUGAGUUCGAAAGGUUGUUGAUUCGAAAGUUUAUGGCUUUAUGUUUAUUGUAUCUAAAUUAUUUAUCAAUACUCCUGAGAAAUUAUUUUUCUUAAAUUUGCGUAUCAAACACCGGAAAAUAAUGAUGAAAACCAAGCACAACCCUUAAUAUGUAAGGAAUAGUAAAAAGGAAAAAAAAAUGCAAUUGGAUACUGUAUACGGUAAAAUUUGGACAAUAUCGGUAACAUAUGGCAUCUAGUCAUCUACCUGUACAUGUUGGUCACAAGAUAAUCUCAGCCGUUUAUCUCUUGUCUCGCGGUUCGCUCCGUCUCUUGACCCGCCUCGUAAAUGGGUAACAAUGCUGUAACCGAUGUUACACGAACUCCAAUAUUUUAUUUUCACCUACUGCUGAGUUAAGCUCCCAGUCUGAAUUUCACCCUCCGGCAAAUUCUCCGAUCAGUUUCGCCGCAGCUAAAGGUCAGCAUCCAUUCCUCUCCCGCCGGUAAAAUAUGUGCAUGCACAAUUAAUUUUCUAAACCUUCAUGCAUUUGAAUAUGAAAAAAUAUAUAUCAAUUUGGAGCUGUUGGUUAAUGCCUAUGUAAAUAUUAAAAUUGAAAUGGUUUUAUUAGACUUUUACGGAGGCGGAGGUGGUGUAAAAUUUAGGCGUUUGUUAUUUGAUGGAUUAUGUGCAUUUGUUGUUGAAUAUUGGCGAAUUAAGUACUUAAUUACUGCUUAUUUCCAGUUAAAUUGUACACUGGCUCCCAUUUUUCUUGAACUGUUCUUUUUUUUUGUGUGUGUGUGGUGGGGUGGGGGGGGGGGGUUGGAAAUGUUACUUGGUUGGAAUUGAUUUGGACUAGAAUAAUUAGUCCACCUAAUACUUAUAGUAAUUGAGAUAUUAAUAUAAACAAACAACACUAGGUGGUUUCUUUCUAUCUUCCUAAGCCUUGGUCGAUAGAGUUAUCCGGUACCUCUACUGGUGGGAGAUAGCACAUACCUGGUGGAAUAGUGGAGGUGCGCAUAAGCUGGUUCCCAUGACUGUCAUAAAAAAGAAAAAGAAUAUACGAGUGGAGAAGAAAAAGGUUUUUUGGAGUAUUAAAUAAUGAUGAAGACGAUUGCACCGACUUGAUAUUUUGGUAUUACAACAACAACAAACCUAGUAGUUUCCCACAAGUGGGGUCUGGGGAGGGUAAGUUGUACGCAGCCUUACCCCUACUCCUGGAAGGGCAAAGAGACUGUUUCCCGUGGACCGUCGGCUAGAGAACGACUGAAAAAGAAAAAGUAAUUACAACAAGCAUGAAUAACAGCAAGAUGAAAUAAGAUCGAAUCCAAGAAUGCAGUCAAACUCUAGGUAGUAAUAGCAUUUAUGAAUAAAAGAUAUCAUACUAACACUAAUGCUAGCGAAUUGAGUAAGACAAAGAGAAAUACUCGACUACCUACGGACUUUCUAUCCUAAUCUUUGACCUCCACACCCUCCUGUCUAGGGCCAUGUCCUCAGUCAGCUUCAGUUGCGCCAUGUCCCGCCUAAUAACCACUCCUCAUGACUUCUUAGGCCUACCUCUACCCCUCCUGCUGCCAGCUGAGGCUAGCCGCUCGCACCUUCUAACUGGGUCUUCUAUAAUUCUCCUCUUAACAUGCCCGAACCAUCUCAACCUCGCCUCCCGCAUCUUAUCCUCCACAGGAGCCACUCCCACCUUUUCCCUAAUAACUUCAUUCCUAAUCUUAUCCAACCGGGUAUGCCCACACAUCCACCUCAACAUCCUCAUCUCAGCUACUUUUAGCUUCUGGGUAUGAAAGUUCUUGACCGACCAACACUCUGCUCCAUACAACAUAGUCGAUCUAAUUACAACCUUGUAGAACUUACCUUUAAGUUUCAACGGCACAUUCUUGUCACACAAGACACCAGACUAUUAUUAUAAAUAAUAAUAAUAAUAAUAAUAUUUUGGUAUUAUUAUUAUUGUUGUUGUUUUGUUUUUAUGACGGUGGUGUCUGGGCCAGCUUGCGUGCAUCUGGUAUUAUGCCACGUAGAAAAGCUUUAGGAUUUUCAAGAGAAUGUAACCAAAACUUAAAAAGGUUAAAACUUUCUUUGUAACUAGUAUUUGGGUUUUUAUUACUUGACCCAUACAAGAGGAAAGUCUCAGCAAAUGGUUUUCAGACGGGAGUCCGCCUAUCAAGUGUUUGGUCUGCUACUUCAUUGCAUGUUACUACCUUUCAAACUCUCAGCCCAUUUGAUACUUAGUAAAAAGAAAAACACUGCCGAAAGCUUUUCAUUUUGCUUUAUGAAUCUGGGCUGCACGUUUACUAUGCCUCAAUCCUAUGUAAGUUGAGCUCCGCUAUAUGAAUACUCAGCGUUUGAUUCGAAUGACUCAUUUGUUUUUGGCUGCAGGAUUAUUCACUCUUUCUUUACCCUUGAGUAUCAUUUAUUCAUUUUUACCUGCAAAAGGCCAAGGAAAGCACAGUUUUAUGCUUUUGUUGCGGCACAUAAGAGACAUUGUCUAACUUUGCUCCCUCCAGUUUCACGUUAAAAUGGUAUACAUAUGAACAUUUAAUGUGUAUGGUGCUAUUCCAUUGCUUGUGUUCUUAAUCAUUCUUCGUUUUAUUCUAGUGUGAGUUACCAGAAUAUUCAGAUAGUGAAAAUUCUUCGAAGCCCGAAGGUGUGAGUGGAAUCAUGCCUAAAGUUGAAGAUCCAUAUUGUGAAUUUCCAUCUCUAUACACAUAUACAAGGCCUACAGGGGUAAGGAAAGAAAUAAUGCAUUUAGCUGAUUUUUCCUCCUUGGUAAUAUUUUUGUUGCCAUGUUUUAUUCGAAGUCGACGCAUAUGCUGCCUUGGUAAUAUUGUUUAGCAUCAGGUGGUAGCAUUAAUAUUCAUCACCUCUGUAAUCAUCUUAUUUUUGAUGCUAAUGCAUCUGUAGGACAACAUUGCAAGCUCAUCAGGCAGCAGUGUGAGAUCAUCUCUUCUGGCUAUGGGUUUCAAUGCAUCACUUGUUGACAAAGCAAUUGAGGAAAAUGGUAUGUAGUGGAAAACUAACUUCUGUUUUAAUCUAUUGUGAAAUUGUGUUGGCAAGUUGUUUUGCUACUGAAUUUUGGAGAAAGAAUACCAAGGCUACCACCACCUUAAAAAAAAAAGAAAAAAGUAAAGAAUACCAAGGGUUCCAACUCAUAAAUUUUCUUAAAAGUUUUGGUUGUUAUUACAGUUGAGUAACGUAAGAAGGGAUAUUUUCUUUUCAAUCUAGGUGAAGGCAACAUUGACUUGUUACUGGAGACUCUUGUUGCAAAUUCUGUAAGUAAAUAUUUCUGAUGUGUGGUACUUUUGUUUUUUCUUUGAUGCUGCUCAUUUCUUGCGUUAAAUAAUGCGUCAACAUGUUACUCCUCUUUGUCUAACUGUCAACCACCCUCGAGACCUUUUUACUUCUUUCAACGUAAAACUUCUUAUCAUACAAGUUUUCUAAUCGAUGUUUAUUUCCAGAGAAAAGAAUGAGUGAGUACUUCGUCUAUCAAAGAAGUUGGACAUGUAAAACUUCUAUUUCUAGGGUCCUCCGUGCCUGGUUAGGUAGCUAUUAAGUGCCCCUCUACAGAUGUUUACUUGUGGUAUAAUAAAGUGAGUAGUACUUUCGCAAAAUGUCAGUAAUACUUUCUGUGUCUUAAAUAUUUGCUAAGCUAUUCAUUUUUUCCUUUUUCAAAUCACUAGCAGAAAUAUAGAAUAUGCUGGUCUAUCUCCUUAAUCGAAUGUCUAUCUUUCCCUUUUAGUUUUCCCCAAAAUGUUGUGCAUUCAUUAAAAGGUCAGACAUGUAUACACUAUAAAAGUUACAAGGAGGCCACUUUUGGUCUUCUCAUUUUGUUCUUUAAAAACAAAAGAAGUAUUUAUAGCAAUAAAAAAACAAAAAACAGAUAGGUAUUUCACUGUUCCCACAUGUUCACCAAGCAAAUAAAUGAUUCGCUUCAUUUUUCUCUUAGAAACACCAAUGAAGUCAAAUAUAGUUUUGCUCCUGCUAUUUUCUAUAAUAUUUAUGCUUUCAAGUUCUUUGCUUUUUGGUAUUAUUUUGUGAUACAUUUGAAAUGUAUGAAAAUGAAUAAGAGGACUUAUAAGUAAAAUCAUCUGUGGUUACAGAUUUUUUGCUUCCAGUCAAGGCACAUUUGGGUCCUUCCCGGAGGACCUUUAUACCAUUUCUUCUCACGUUUUCAUAGGACAGCCUAUGCUUCAAAUAGUUGGUUAAUUUUCUCGAGUUUCUUUGAUUUUCCUCUAUUCAAGUUUAUUUCCUGUUAGGUUUGAUAUUAGAAACAAAGUAGAUUUGUUGAUUUCAAUGAAAAUAUAGUUCACUUGCAAAUUGUGCUAAUGAUGGAUGCAAAACAUUGUGCCGCUCAGUUGUAGAUUAUUCCUUAUGCCAUCAUUUGUAUAAUGAUCAUCAGAAUAACCAGAACUGAUGUUGUUGAUGUGUUUAAAUAGGAUCCUCCUAGAGCAGAUUCGUCAGAUUCUCUCGAUAGCUUGUUUGGUGAUGAUGAGGACACAAACAGUUCUGCCAAGUAUGACGGAGAUGUACAUAUAAAAGAGGUGAAGUAAUAUGGUUCUACGUGAUGUGAGUUACGUGCUUCUAUAAAUGUUGGUUACUACUUACUAGGUUAUAAGAAUUAACAAGUAAACUUUCUAAUACAAUUGUGGAGUUUGGUUCGGAUAAAUGGAUAGUCCUCUUGACAUGGAUGCUUUUAUUCCAAGAGAUUCACAGCUUAAAAGUAAUCAGGUUGGAAAAAUUGUUGAAGGUAUAAAGGCAAACAGAUGCAAUUUUUGCUACUGUAUAGGUCAUUUUAAUCAUUUUUGUAGACUGGGGAGGAAGUUUCAUGUACAAUCUAAGAUGGAUAGAAGAGAGAAUCCACUAUCCAGCCAGGAAAAGAACUACAUUAUUAUAAGAGUGGUUCAUGCCAGUGAAAGAAGCAAUGAAAGAAAAGUCUGUUUCUUUAUUCAAAAUCAUUUCUUUGAAUGAAGUUAUAUUGCUCCACUAAAAAAGAAGUGGUUGGCCUUUCUCAACAUGGUGUAUAGAACAGAAAGCCUUUUGGUACAACAGUGGGCUGUUCAUUUAAAUGAUAAAUUGGUCAUUGCUAAUGAAUAUCGUUGUUUCAAUAGCAAUGUGUACCCCAACUUUUCACACUGAUGCAUAUUAGAUGUAGAAUAAUCUAUGUACUUCAUGCCCAUGCAUAUUGCUUCAGUCUGUACGCCAUUUUAGGAAUAAAAUCCUAUGCAAUGAAAACUGUGGGUAAUAUGCUUUCAAGCUCUUAGCCUAUGCGUUUUUACAUAAUAUUAAAAUUAAGAAAGAUAAAGAGGAUAUGCGACUUGGGUUGUCUCCUUUUUCUGUUGCAGGAGCCUGAUCCUUGUGGUGGAGUUCAUGAUGACAAGAGAGCAUCUUUAUUAGCAAUGAGUUUCUCUUUGGACGAAGUCGAAUUUGCAAUCGGUAAACUUGGUAUGUGAAAUAGCUGUAGCUUUUUGUGUUUUUCAAAAAUGCUCUAGGAUUUUUCUUGUGGUAUUAUGGUUCUUCUCAUCUCUUAAGCAGAAUCCUCCCAAUCAUGCUGUAUAGCUGAUAGCCAAUUUUGAGCUUGUGUCCGUUAAGCAGAAUCCUCCUAAUCAUGCUAUCUUUGUUGUCUGUUUCUUUUUGCUUUAAAUAGGCAAUCACUUAAACUAAAGUACUCCUCAUCCUGCAUGCAGGUGAAGCUGCUCCUGUCAACGAACUAGUUAAUCUAAUCUUUGCUGCUCGAAUCGCUCAAAAUUGUAAAAAAGAUGACGGUGAUGAUUCUGUUGUUGAGAUUAAAGAAUGGAUCAAGGUUAGUGAUUUAUGUUCAACUCUUUUUUGAGCAUUUGGUAGGAGAAAAAACUAUGGAGCAUAAGAAGAGUACAAGAAAGGUGGACAAGCUAAUAUGCUGAAGUUACAUUAACUGAACAGAUCACUCAAUCUAGCUGUAGAUCUACCAAAGAGAUGUAUUUGAAUAAUCAUAUAGCUCACCUUAUGGAAAAAUGAUCCUUUGAAUCAUCUGUCUUUAAAAAUUAUUAUAGGAGGCUUUUUGUCAUGUACCUGGAGCAAAGAUUGCACUUGCAAAUAUUUAAUUGCUUCAUAUAACUGUUUUAUACCCCUUUCCUUCUUUCUGACUUGAAUGUGAUUUAAGAAUGGAUUAUUUGCUAUAACUAACCUGCUCCAUACUAUAUGAGCCCAAAUGUCUUAUUUCCUACCAUUGAUCAAGUGGCAUGUGCUAUUAAUAUCAACUUUGUUGUCUAGGAAUGCAGCACCGAGGCUAUGUUUAAGAUCAUGGAGAAGACGUUAAAAUUGCUUGACAUGGGUUUCUCUGAGAAUGAAGUUUCUGCAGUUAUUGAGAAGUAUGGUGAGCAAAUUAUCUCUUUGCUAGUGUCUAUUCCACCAGUAACUAUUUGCCUCUUGAAAUUGUAGUGUUUCUACUGCAGCCUUUCUUAUUUGGUAAAUUAUUUCCUUACUGUCUUUAAGCUCUCUUUUUCAGCCAGGGUUUUAAACAGAUGCUUCAUUUAGCUUUCAUAUUCUGCCUUUUAGGUUCUGAAGUUCCUCUUGAAGAGCUUGCAAAUUCAAUAAUAGAUCCUAGUAGUGGAAGAAUGGACAAGGUAAUGUCUCCUUUUCUCUUUUCGUAGUGCCAUAAAACUUGCAAUUAUGGUAAUUUCUUAUUUGUUGAUCCAAUAGCUUGUUUCAAUUGUUUUGGGACCAAAAAUAGGACAACGGUGGAGCAAAGAGGUUUCAAGCAAUUGCGACAACCAUCUUAUAGCCUUUCCUAAGUGAAACUCCCUGAUGGUGUGGUUGCAGCUGUAGUUCACCAUUAGCUAUUACGGAAUUCUUGGGGAUGAUUAUUCUUCAUUAUUUGCACGAAGCAUUAUGUUAGAAUUGAUACCUGGGCUACCAUUUUGCUCAUCAAAGAUGUCAACUAUUAACAUGCUCUGGUCCUUUUUCUCUAGUGUGAUCUCUGAUGCUUAAAGUUGUGAAGACACUAGUACAACUAGAUUAAUUUAGAUAAACUACUGUAUUUUUUCAAAUGACAUAUAGAUGUUCUCCUAUUUUUGUUAUGAUACUUUUUGUUUAUCUGAGAUCUUAUUUCCUUAUAAGUGUGCUUCUGUUUGAGAAUACUGUAACUUUAUUUUGUUUUUUACUUGUUUGCAGCAUCUCUUAAACUCUCUCAGCAGGAAUGGUUCGAUUGGAUUUCAUCCACUAGCUGUUAAGAAAGAGGAAUGUGAUGUGGAUACCUCUGAAUCUAGAGAACUUAACAUACUGGAAAAGCUUAAAGGGAAACGGCCAAAGGAGAACUAUAUUGAUGAGAUAAACACUUUAAAAAGGCCGAAACCAGAAUAUGAUGAAGCCUUUGGCAGUUCUCUUGGCCCUGCAUGGCAAGAAAUGACCAGUAGAAACUUAGGGCCAUUCAAUGCCACGAGGACUCCAGUUUCUCGAAGAGCAAUUCACCAAAGAUCAAGAGUGCUGGAUUGCCAAGAGACACCGAAAUUGUCUAUGCCCAAAUCAUGCAGGACCCUUGAUAAGGAGGCGGCUAAAGCUCCCUAUUUCUUUUAUGGGAAUGUAAUGAACUUAUCUCAUGACUCUUGGGUAAGAAUCUCUCAGUUUUUGCAUGCCAUUGAACCAGAAUUUGUUAAUACUCAACUUUUCUCAGCUUUGAGUCGUAAAGAAGGUUAUGUACAUAAUCUUCCUACUGAAAAGCGAUUUCACAUUGUUCCAAAACCACCAAUGACGAUUCAAGAAAUAGUUCCUAAUAGCAAAAAAUGGUGGCCAUCAUGGGAUACCAGGCAACACUUGAGCUGCAUCAAUUCUGAGACAUCUUGUGUACCUCAGCUAUGUGAUAGGCUUGAAAGAACAGUUAGUGAUUCCCAGGGGUUUCCUGCGGUUGACAGACAAAGAGAUAUCCUCCACCAUUGCCAGAUAUUGAAUCUAGUGUGGGUUGGCCGCUACAAAAUGGCACCUGUAGCACCAGAACAAAUAGAACGCAUUCUUGGCUACCCAGAAAAUCACACCCGAAAUGCUGGGUUUAGCCUGAUGGAAAGACUUCUGUCACUGAAACAUUGCUUCCAGAUAGAUACAUUGGCUUAUCAUCUCUCUGUAUUGAAGUCUCUGUACCCUGGAGGAUUGACGGUUUUGUCCAUCUUUACUGGAACUGGUGGAGCUGAAAUUGCAUUGCAUCGCCUUGGAAUUCGCUUAAAAGUUGUUGUCUCCGUAGAGGCUUCUGAUAAAAACCGGAGAAUUCUCAAGCAAUGGUGGAGUAGUUCGGGACAAACAGGAGAACUUGUGCAGAUUGAAGACAUUCAGAAGUUGACCAGUAACAAGGUAGAGGUCUUGAUAAAGAAGUUUGGUGGUUUUGAUUUCAUCGUAUGCCAGAGUCCUUGCACAUACUCUUCUAAAGGUAAUUUAUUUGCAGAUACUGAUAGUCAUGCAAGUUUAGAUUUCAUGUUGUUUCACGAGUUUGUGCGUGUCCUACAACGUGUAAGAAAUGCAAUGGGACGGAACUAGUGAGUUCCUUAGCUUUAUUUUGUAGGAACAUAUGGACUGAGCUUAAUAGUAUGUUGUCCUAGUUUAUGACUUCGAAGUUCUAAUAUAUGAAAGCUUAAAUGGAGAACGGUGACUAUUACAUUACUUAGUUUUCAGAUUAUCUAUUUUAGUAGUUGGACGUGCACGUUAUUAUAUUUCGAAUAUAUGUGUGCUAUCUCCGGAUAAGGUAUGCGUACACUCUACCCUCCCUAGUCUCACCUGUAGGACUACACUGGGUAUGUUGUUGUUGUUGUUGUUGGAUGUGUGCUAUUACAGUCAUUCAUGGAUUUCGUCAACUGACUUGAUCAAGGGCGAUUUUUAAGAAGAGGCAUUUGUAUUCAGACAUCUUUAUAAUGCUCUUGUUUGGGCCAUGCACCAAAGCAAUGAGUGUCACAUGUAUUCUUUAUCUAAGGUUUAUUAAUUGUGGUUACGUGAUAACAAUGGCGGAGCCAGGAAUUUCUUAAAGGGUGUUCAAAUUUGAAAGAAGUGAAAAAAAAAUUCCGAUAAAGGGUGUUCAAUAUAAUAUUAUAUACCACUAAAAUCUAAUAUUUUACCUAUAUAUGCAGUGUAAUUUUUCGACGAAGUGUGUUCAAUGUAGCUUUGCCCCUAUCAAAAUUAUUGUGCAUAGACAAAUAUUUGCGUUCCUUCUUCGAACUAGUUUUGGCAUCGUUCUCAACACAUUACAAUCUCGCAUCUUCACACUGUCCUUGUCUUGAAGGUCUGUCAAUGAAGUUACCAAUGAUCCUAUAAGGUCCGUCACAAUUGGAGCUAAAUUUCAACCUUCUCGUGAGUGCUACUGAGAUUUGCACUAUGAGUUGCAAUUUUAAGUUCCCGUCACACACCUUUGGUGGCCCUUUCCCGGCCUUGCGUAAAUACAGGCUGCUUUUAUACGUAAAUACGGGCUGCUUUAUGUAGAUGCGGGACGUUUUGUACACCCAAAUUGUUUUUUUUUUAAUGUCUCCCACAUGAUGCUAUAUUGAGCUACAAAAGGGGUGCACUUGAGCUCCUACCAUUAAGGGGCAAGUGCACAGAUAACCAUUCUUCGGGAUGCUAUUUAGAGAUUAGUCAGUACUUAUUUUGUCCUGAAAUUUUAAACUAAAAAUCUUAAUUUCAGGACAAUUCAGGACAUUUUUAUCCCAAAAAAAUUUGAAAAACUGAAAUUCAAGACGUACUGACUAAUUCCUAAAUAACAACCCUUUAGAGCGGCUAUCUUGUGCCAGUUCUACACCAUUAAGCUAGGCUUAGCCACUAUUUCUUUUAUGUAGGUCAGUUGAAAAAGCUUCUCCUUGGACAAAUAGGAAAUUGUGAAUCAAAAUAAUUAUAACUGUGAACUUAAAUGUGAAUUCAGAAAAUUUCACGGGCUUUUUUCUUCCAUAUCUUUAAUUAUAACAAGAAGCAUACAUCAAUAUUAUUGUGAUAUUGUCAUAAAAGAAAGCGGUUGAGAGAUCACGACACUAAAAUGACUUUUGAUUCCUAAAUUUUAUAGAUUAUUAUUGAAAUUUGUUACCUUCUUUUGAAAAAUUCAUAGCUCAUAAGUGGUAUACUAGUAUAGUUGACUUCCCUUCAACAAAACCUGCUCUUUAAAGUAAUGAAAUAUAUACUAAAGUACAAUCCCAUAAAUGUGAAAUUUAACAUAUCGCUUGAAAAUUGCUGUUUUAGUUUUGCUAAUCACCAAAGACAAAUUGUUUACUUAACACCAAAUAUAGCAUAACCAAAAAUAAACAAAUUAAAAAGAGAUAAAGUAGUUGGAAGAUCUAAGUCGGCAAUUGAUAUACCAUCCAAUAAGAGGUAGAAAUAUGCCACCCAAAAUUGCAAAAAAGACAAGUGUUACCAACUUCUUUUAUUUUCUUGUUUUCUUUUGAAUUCAUAAUUUCUUAGUAUGAACUCCAAAGAUUUUGCUUUGAUCAUAAUAAUUGUUCCGUAACUAAAAUAGUAUUGAGACACCUACAUGGGAAUCACCUCUAUUUCUUAGAGCUAAAUCGACUUCUUGUCAAAUCAUUACAAGUCAGUAGUUAAUUAAGCUGCAUUUACUUACACAUGUUAUUAAUUUAAUAAUAGAGCUUUAUUUUGUUCAUAAUUUAGACCAAUCUAUUGUUAUUAACAACUUGUUUGGAUGGUUGUUACAUGUCAUUUUAUAAGGUAUCGUAUUAUAUUAUACUGCACUGUAUUGAACUGUUUGAUGAAUAUAAUAUUUGGAUAGAUUGUAUUGUUUGCUGUCGUCAGAUGAUGUCACACACCAAUAAUAUGAAAAAUAAACUUACAACAUUACUUUUAAAAAAAGGAUACGACAUAGAAUUAUUAUAUUAAAAUGUAGGGUAAAGGUGUAGAAGUUAGUGGUGAUACAUCUAUCACUUAACAAUGUACAUCUGCUAGUUAUGUGUUAAGUUAAGUAGAGAAGAGUUAGUUGAAUUAGUUAUAUGUCAUUGUCAGUCGGUUAGUAUAUAAAAGAGUAAAGAGUCUGUAAAUACAAAGAGAUUUAUUUUCAUUUUGUCUCUGUACAUCAAAGCUUAUCAAUGGAGCUGUUUCUCUCUCAAUCUUCUCAAAAACUCUCUCUCUCAUUCACCAUGGCUGAGCUAAUCAACAUGGUAUUAGAGCUUUGGUAAUUCGGUCAGCUCAGCUACUACGGAGGAGUAUUAGAGAAGUGUAUCUGCUCUUAGAUCGAGCUAUUUCUUCAUCUGAAAAGUUCCUCUGCAACCUAGGGUUUCUGGAACUUGUUAAUUUCAGUUGAAUCUCGAUAAAUUACUGUGAAAUUCAUCUCUAAUUGCUUGUUGUGGUUCCAAAUCAGUAACACAACUAAGUUUUCUGAAGAAGAUGAUUCCGUCUCUACUACUUAAGGUGCUACAGCUCCAGCCCCAAAUCUUCAUGACAUUAUCUAGUUCAUCACAAUCAUCCUCUAUACAUUCAUCCAUCAAACAUGCCAUGUUCGGUACUGAUCUCUAUUCAACUUUAAAGAUCUGAAAAUUAUUCAAUUUGGAGUAGAUCUAUGAAAAUUGUAUUGCAUGGCAAAAAAAAAAGCUACACUUUAUUCUCGAUACCUGUAGAAGGGAAAUGUAUGAGCAUAGUCUACACGAACUGUGGGAGAGAUGUAAUGCAAUUGUUCUAGAUUGGAUUAUAAAUGUUGUUUCACCAAAUCUCAUUAGUACUGUGAUUUAUGCAUCUAAUGCACACAAGGUGUGGGAAGAUCUUAAGGAAAUGUUUGAUAAAGUAAACAUCUCUAAAGGCUACUAUCUUCACAAGGAAAUUACUACUUUGACUCAAGAUGUGUCAUCCGUGUCCGUGUACUUCUCCAGACUUAGAGAAUUGUGGGAUGAGUACGAGGCCCUAGAACCUCCUCCCUCUUAUGGUUGUCCCGAGUCUAGAAGACAUGCUGAACAUUACCAGACACAAAAAUUGUACCAAUUUUUGACGGGUUUAAAUGAAUAAUUUGAACAUGCUAAAGAUCAAGUUCUUAUGACUCGUCCAUUACCUAACAUCAAUUAGGCAUAUAUAAUUUUGAGAGUCAAAGAAAAAAUGGUGCUGGAAUCACUGUUGGUAUUGGUGUUGAAGUUACUGACCCUACAACCUUGCUGAGCAACAAAACUUCAACAGGAGGUUACAUACAAAAGAACAAUUCUGGCAAGGCCUUGGUUCCAUGUGACUAUUGUAACUACAAGGGACACACCAGGGCAAAUUGCGUCAAAUUGCAUAGUUAUCCAGCAGAUUUUAAAUUUAAGAAAAAUGAGGACUCCAACUACUUAUAGCAACACAUAUGCCAACAAUGUAACUAGUGUAGGUGAUCAAUAUUCAGGGGGUCAACAUUGCUCUCAACCUGGAGUUCCUUCACCAACUCAGUUCUUCACUCCUGAGCAAUACUCUCAGAUUCUGCAGCUUCUCAACAAAGGAAAUGAAGUUGCACUUAUGGCUAAUGUAGCCAAAACUGACACUGCAGGUACCUAUUCUGCCCUGUUGUCUACUCUGGUUGAUACUAACUGGAUAAUAGACACAGGUGCCACUAAUCAUAUGGUACAAAAUAUGGCUUUGCUUAAUAAGUGUUCAGAUAUGCCUAAAGAGUCCAGAAGUAAGGUACUCUUACCUACUGGUGGUCAAAUCUCUAUUAGUAAAUCAGGAGAGUCCUCAAUCUUCCAAGAUAGAACAGUUCACAAUGUCUUAUAUGUUCCAGAGUUUAAGUACAAUCUGUUGUCUGUUUCCAAAAUCACUAAGGAGCUAAGUUGCUUGGUUGCAUUCUUCCCUGACUUCUGUUUAUUUUAGGAGCUCUUCAGCGGGAAGGUAUUAUGGAUUGAUAGAGAAUGGCAUGGUCUCUACAUUCUGCAAGCAAAUGGUCUAGCAUCUUCCUCACACCAGCCAGUGAAUAAAGGGGAUAAGUAUCUGCAUCAUUCACUUGUAAAUACCAUUACUAGUGUGAGAAGGCACGGGAGAAAAUAUGAUAUAUAUUGAUAUUGUGUGUGAUGCAAUACAAGAGGUGCUAUUUAUAGCUACUCUAUACAAAGGGGAUACUAUUCCUAUUCCAAUGUGGGACAAUUACAUAGCUAUCUCUAACAUUUACAUAGCUAUCUCUAACACUCCCCUCAAGCCGGAACAUAUAAAUCAUAUGUACCGAACUUGUUACAUAUAUAAUCAAUGCGAGGACUAGUGAGGGACUUGGUGAAAAUAUCUGCAAGUUGAUCAUUCGAUCUCACAAACUUCGUAGUAAUAUCUCCUGAGAGUAUCUUUUCUCUGACGAAGUGAUAAUCAAUCUCAAUGUGUUUAGUUCUCUCAUGAAACACCGGAUUUGAUACAAUAUGAAGUGCAGCUUGAUUAUCGUACACAAGUUCCAUCCGACUGAUUUCACCAAAUUUCAACUCCUUGAGCAAUUGUUUGGUCCAGAGUAGUUCACAUGUUGCCAUAGCCAUUGCUCGGUAUUCUGCUUCUGCACUAGACCGAGCAACUACAUUCUGUUUCUUACUUUUCUAGGACACCAAAUUUCCUCCUACUAAAACACAAUAUCCAGACGUAGAACGUCUAUGAGAAGGUGAUCCUGCCCAAUCAGCAUCCUAGUACCCAACGAUCUGCUCAUGACCUCGAUCCUCAAAAACAGUAAUCCUUUACCUGGAGCCGAUUUUAUAUACCGGAUAAUGCGAACAACUGCAUCCCAAUGACUAUCACAGGGAGAAUUCAUAAACUGACUUACAACAUUCACAUGAUAAGAAAUGUCGGGCCUAGUCACUGUGAGAUAAUUUAAUUUACCAACCAGUCACCUAUAGCUUGCAGGAUCGCUAAGCGGCUCCCCCUGUCCAGGCAGAAGUUUAGAAUUCGGAUCUAUCGGCGUGUCAAGAGGUCUGCAACCUGUCAUCCAUGUUUCCUCAAGAAUGUCNNNNNNNNNNNNNNNNNNNNNNNNNUAGAUCCUUAGUUUGAAAGCGCUGGAAGAGAUGUUGCUUCAGAUUAGUAAUACCAUCCUGGUCAUUGCCCGUAAUAACAAUAUCAUCAACAUAGACUACCAGAUAAAUACAUAGACUUGAAGCAGAGUUGCAAUAAACACAGAGUGAUCAGCUUCACUACGAGUCAUGCCAAACUCCUGGAUAAUCGUGCUGAACUUACCAAACCAGGCUUGAGGAGACUGCUUUAGACCAUAAAGUGACCGACGCAAGCGACAUACAAGGCCACGAGACUCCCCCUGAGCAAUAAAACCAGGUGGUUGCUCCAUAUAAACCUCAUCCUCAAGAUCACCAUGAAGAAAGGCAUUCUUAAUGUCCAACUGAUAGAGGGGCCAAUGACGAACUGCAACCAUGGAUAGAAAAAGGCGAACUGAUGCCACUUUAGCCACUGGAGAGAAUGUAUCACUGUAAUCUAGCCCAAAUAUUUGAGUGUAUCCUUUGGCAACAAGAUGUGCCUUUAGUCGAUCAAUCUGGCCAUCGGGACCAACUUUGACUGCAUAAACCCAACGACAACCAACGGUAGAUUUACCUGAAGGAAGAGGAACAAGCUCCCAUGUACCACUUGUAUGUAAAGCAGACAUCUCGUCACUCAUAGCCUGUCGCCAUCCUGGAUGAGACAAUGCUUCACCUGUAGACUUAGGGAUGGAAACCAAGGACAAUGAAGAUAUAAAAGCAUAAUGGGGAGAUGACAGACGAUGAUAACUCAAACCAACAUAAUGAGGAUUAGGGUUUAGUGAGGUCCGUAUACCUUUUCGAAGUGCAAUCGGUGUACUAGGAGCAGGAUCCGCAGUAGGAGCCAUGUCAGGUGCAGGACGAGAAUCAGAUGGGCCUGAUGUAGGGCGCAAACGACGAUGAUAAGUCAAGAGUGGUGUUCCUGUGGCUGGGGAACUAGGAGGGAUAACACUGGACUCCUCAAAAGUUGGUAUGGGUGAAACCUCUGUGGUUGAAGGUGGAGGAGGAUUACUAAACUCCUCAAAAGUCGAUAUAGGUAAGACCUCAGAUAUGUCAUGGUGGUCAGCAGAAGUGACAUCAGUUGUGAAGAAAGGUUUAGACUCGAAAAAUGUGACAUCAGCUGACAUAAGGUACCUAUGAAGAUCAUGUGAAUAACAACGAUAUCCCUUCUAAAUACGAGAAUAACCAAGGAAGACACACUUGAGAGCACGGGGAGUUAACUUAUCUUUCCCCGGGGCUAAGUUAUGAACAAAACAUGUGCUCCCAAAAACCCGAGGUGGAAGAGGGUAUAAGGCUGACUGGGGAAACAANNNNNNNNNNNNNNNNNNNNNNNNNNNNNNNNNNNNNNNNNNNNNNNNNNNNNNNNNNNNNNNNNNNNNNNNNNNNNNNNNNNNNNNNNNNNNNNNNNNNNNNNNNNNNNNNNNNNNNNNNNNNNNNNNNNNNNNNNNNNNNNNNNNNNNNNNNNNNNNNNNNNNNNNNNNNNNNNNNNNNNNNNNNNNNNNNNNNNNNNNNNNNNNNNNNNNNNNNNNNNNNNNNNNNNNNNNNNNNNNNNNNNNNNNNNNNNNNNNNNNNNNNNNNNNNNNNNNNNNNNNNNNNNNNNNNNNNNNNNNNNNNNNNNNNNNNNNNNNNNNNNNNNNNNNNNNNNNNNNNNNNNNNNNNNNNNNNNNNNNNNNNNNNNNNNNNNNNNNNNNNNNNNNNNNNNNNNNNNNNNNNNNNNNNNNNNNNNNNNNNNNNNNNNNNNNNNNNNNNNNNNNNNNNNNNNNNNNNNNNNNNNNNNNNNNNNNNNNNNNNNNNNNNNNNNNNNNNNNNNNNNNNNNNNNNNNNNNNNNNNNNNNNNNNNNNNNNNNNNNNNNNNNNNNNNNNNNNNNNNNNNNNNNNNNNNNNNNNNNNNNNNNNNNNNNNNNNNNNNNNNNNNNNNNNNNNNNNNNNNNNNNNNNNNNNNNNNNNNNNNNNNNNNNNNNNNNNNNNNNNNNNNNNNNNNNNNNNNNNNNNNNNNNNNNNNNNNNNNNNNNNNNNNNNNNNNNNNNNNNNNNNNNNNNNNNNNNNNNNNNNNNNNNNNNNNNNNNNNNNNNNNNNNNNNNNNNNNNNNNNNNNNNNNNNNNNNNNNNNNNNNNNNNNNNNNNNNNNNNNNNNNNNNNNNNNNNNNNNNNNNNNNNNNNNNNNNNNNNNNNNNNNNNNNNNNNNNNNNNNNNNNNNNNNNNNNNNNNNNNNNNNNNNNNNNNNNNNNNNNNNNNNNNNNNNNNNNNNNNNNNNNNNNNNNNNNNNNNNNNNNNNNNNNNNNNNNNNNNNNNNNNNNNNNNNNNNNNNNNNNNNCAAAUGAAUUACCAGCAAUAGGAGUGUCAGUCUGGGCAACUGAGGAUACUUGUGGAGAUGUUUGCUUACUUGCUCAAUACUGAAGGAGCUCAUUAUAUUCUUCUUUAGAUACAGAAAAGCCCUGGUUACCUAUAGUCUCGCUCUGAGCAACGUAGGCAUUUUUGGGUGGACGACCAUUUAAGGAAUAACACAUUUCGCGAGUUUGUCCAAGUUUGUGACAAUAAGAACACUUGGGUCUAGAUCUCCCAAAACGACCGUCUCCUCGUCUAUUCUCCAUAGCUUGAGAUGCCCAAACAUCCACUAUCUGGGAUGCAAGAACAGAGGAAUCAAGUAUCUGUGAUGAAAUCACUGGUGACUUGGUGCUGCAGCAAGGCGAAGUAAUCGAGAGAAUAAUUCAUCAACUGUAGGGACAGUCGGACUCGCCAAAAUCUGGUCUCGUACUGAAUCAAGAUCAUGAGGAAGUCCAGUGAGUGUAAGAACUAGAAACAUUUUCUAUCGCUGCUCUUGUUGUUUUGACACACUAGCAGAAACUGGCAUCAAUGUCUCAAAUUCCUCCAUGACUGCUUGUACUUGACCCAAGUAAGUAGACAUAUCUAAUUCUUGCUUCUUUAAGUUUGUCAUCCGUGNNNNNNNNNNNNNNNNNNNNNNNNNNNNNNNNNNNNNNNNNNNNNNNNNNNNNNNNNNNNNNNNNNNNNNNNNNNNNNNNNNNNNNNNNNNNNNNNNNNNNNNNNNNNNNNNNNNNNNNNNNNNNNNNNNNNNNNNNNNNNNNNNNNNNNNNNNNNNNNNNNNNNNNNNNNNNNNNNNNNNNNNNNNNNNNNNNNNNNNNNNNNNNNNNNNNNNNNNNNNNNNNNNNNNNNNNNNNNNNNNNNNNNNNNNNNNNNNNNNNNNNNNNNNNNNNNNNNNNNNNNNNNNNNNNNNNNNNNNNNNNNNNNNNNNNNNNNNNNNNNNNNNNNNNNNNNNNNNNNNNNNNNNNNNNNNNNNNNNNNNNNNNNNNNNNNNNNNNNNNNNNNNNNNNNNNNNNNNNNNNNNNNNNNNNNNNNNNNNNNNNNNNNNNNNNNNNNNNNNNNNNNNNNNNNNNNNNNNNNNNNNNNNNNNNNNNNNNNNNNNNNNNNNNNNNNNNNNNNNNNNNNNNNNNNNNNNNNNNNNNNNNNNNNNNNNNNNNNNNNNNNNNNNNNNNNNNNNNNNNNNNNNNNNNNNNNNNNNNNNNNNNNNNNNNNNNNNNNNNNNNNNNNNNNNNNNNNNNNNNNNNNNNNNNNNNNNNNNNNNNNNNNNNNNNNNNNNNNNNNNNNNNNNNNNNNNNNNNNNNNNNNNNNNNNNNNNNNNNNNNNNNNNNNNNNNNNNNNNNNNNNNNNNNNNNNNNNNNNNNNNNNNNNNNNNNNNNNNNNNNNNNNNNNNNNNNNNNNNNNNNNNNNNNNNNNNNNNNNNNNNNNNNNNNNNNNNNNNNNNNNNNNNNNNNNNNNNNNNNNNNNNNNNNNNNNNNNNNNNNNNNNNNNNNNNNNNNNNNNNNNNNNNNNNNNNNNNNNNNNNNNNNNNNNNNNNNNNNNNNNNNNNNNNNNNNNNNNNNNNNNNNNNNNNNNNNNNNNNNNNNNNNNNNNNNNNNNNNNNNNNNNNNNNNNNNNNNNNNNNNNNNNNNNNNNNNNNNNNNNNNNNNNNNNNNNNNNNNNNNNNNNNNNNNNNNNNNNNNNNNNNNNNNNNNNNNNNNNNNNNNNNNNNNNNNNNNNNNNNNNNNNNNNNNNNNNNNNNNNNNNNNNNNNNNNNNNNNNNNNNNNNNNNNNNNNNNNNNNNNNNNNNNNNNNNNNNNNNNNNNNNNNNNNNNNNNNNNNNNNNNNNNNNNNNNNNNNNNNNNNNNNNNNNNNNNNNNNNNNNNNNNNNNNNNNNNNNNNNNNNNNNNNNNNNNNNNNNNNNNNNNNNNNNNNNNNNNNNNNNNNNNNNNNNNNNNNNNNNNNNNNNNNNNNNNNNNNNNNNNNNNNNNNNNNNNNNNNNNNNNNNNNNNNNNNNNNNNNNNNNNNNNNNNNNNNNNNNNNNNNNNNNNNNNNNNNNNNNNNNNNNNNNNNNNNNNNNNNNNNNNNNNNNNNNNNNNNNNNNNNNNNNNNNNNNNNNNNNNNNNGGGUUUCGGUGACUGAUUUUACUUCCCGGAAUUGCUGGAAUUUAUGCACAACGAUAAAUCUCUCACGAUAGCUCUGAUACCAUGUGAGAAGGCACGAGAGAAAAUAUGAUAUAUAUUGAUAUUGUGUGUGAUACAAUACACGAGGUGCUAUUUAUAGCUACUCUAUACAAAGGGGAUACUACUCCUAUUCCAAUGUGGGAUAAUUACAUAGCUAUCUCUAACAUUUAUAUAGCUAUCUCUAACAACUAGUUCAAGUAAGAAACCUAGUGGUGAUAUAAUGAAUAAGACUUGUGACAAUACUUCUUUGUGGCAUAGAAGAUUAGCCCAUUCUCCUUUGAGAGUAUUGAAAAAUAUUGAUAGUUUAAAAGUUGUACAAUUGAAAGAUCAUCUAUGUACGGUGUGUCCACUUGCCAAACAGUCAAAGUUACCUUUUACUCUCAAUAAUACUUGUUAUGUUCAUCCUUUUGAUCUCGUACAUGUUGAUGUUUGGGGUCCCUAUAGAGUACCUACGCAUGAUGGUAAGAGGUAUUUCCUGACCCUAGCAGAUGAUUUCUUUAGAUAUACCUGGAUUUUCUUAUUGAGUACUAAGGCAGACUCAAUUGUUGUUCUGAUAGAUUUAUUGGUAUUGGUUAGAAAUCAGUUCUGUUGUAAUGUAAAAUGUUUGAGAACUGAUAAUGGAUUUGAGUUUGUCAACAUUCAGAUUAAUUCUCUGUUAAAGGACUUUGGGAUAGUUCGUCAAAGCUCAUGUAUCUACACUCCUCAACAAAAUGGUAUAGUAAAACGAAAGCAUAUGUAUAUUCUAAACAUGGCUCGAGCCUUAAGGUUUCAAGCCUUAAUCCAUUUGAAGUUUUAGGGUGAGUGUGUUUCUACUGCAGUUUACUUGCUGAAUAGCUGCCUAAUGCUCUGUUGAAAGGCAAAUCUCCCUUUGAGAAUUUGUUUCUUCGACCACCCUCCUUGCAUCAUUUGAGAGUGUUUGGUGGCCUAUGUUAUGCUACUAAUAUGAGAAAGACAGAUAAAUUCAGUCCUAGAGCAUUUUUUGCAGUUCACCUUGGGUAUUCAUCUUCCUAGAAAGUCUAUCUUCUCUAUGAUCUCUCUACUCAUCACUUCUUUGUUAGCAUGGAUACUGUGCUUAAGAAAGAUAUCUUUCCUUUUCAACAUCUACAAUCUGGUCAUUCUCCAAUCUUCCCAGUUCUUCAGCUUUCAGCACUGGAUGCUCCUAUCUCAUGUCCUGAAGUUGUGAAGCCCAUAGUAGAGAUUGAAGCUCCUAUGUACGAGAUGCCUUCUCCUACUCAGUCUACUGAUGUACCUAGCACUGCUGCUUCUCAUGCCUCUCUUCCACCUCUCAAAAAGUCUUCCAUAUUGUCCAAACCUCCUAUUUGGAUGAAAGACUAUGUAGUGCACACUAAGCAGUCCACAUGUGCCUAUCCAAUAGUUCAGUAUGUGAACUAUGAUCAAUUGUCUUCUGCUUACAUGAUUUCUGUUGCUACAUAUUUUACUAUUUUUGAGCCCAAGGUCAUUUGAUUAAGCAAACAAGGAUCCACAUUGGGUGAAUGUUAUGAAGGCUGAGAUCUUAUCCUUGGAGGACAAUAAGACUUGGUAUAUUGUUGAUCUACCACUUGAUAAGGUUCCCAUAGGAUGCAAAUGGAUGUUUAAAGUAAAGUACAAGUCUACUGGGAGGUGGAAAGAUACAAAGCAAGACUGGAUGCUAAAGAUUAUAGUCAACAAGAGGGUCUUGACUACAAGGAAACCUUCUCUCUUGUAGCCAAAAUGGUGACUGUCAGAACAGUGGUGGCUCUAGCUGCAGCCUCCAGUUGGUACAUCUUUCAAAUGGAUGUUCACAAUGCCUUUCUACAGGGAGAUCUUGUUAAGGAUGUCUACAUGCAGAUUCCAAAUGGCUUUUCAAGCCAAGGGGAGUCCAAGAAGGUAUGUAAGCUUCACAAGUCUUUGUAUGGCCUCAAGCAAGCAGCUAGGCAAUGGAACUUAAAACUGACAGAGGCCUUGACUGAUAUGGGGUUUGUGCAGUCAUACUAUGAUUAUUCUUUAUUUCCAAAAAGGAAAGAAAGAGAGCUGGUCAUUGUUCUUGUUUAUGUUGAUGACCUCUUGGUCACAGGUAUUCACUUAACACUAAUUCAGCAAGUCAGAAAGGACCUUCAGAACAAGUUCAAGAUGAAGGACUUGGGAGAACUGGAGUAUUUUUUAGGGAUUGAAUUCUCGAGGUUAGCAAACGAAAUUCACAUGUGCUAGAGAAAAUAUGCCCUUGAACUUGUUUCAGAAACAGGGCUAGCAGGGGCUAAACCUGCUGGAACUCAUUUGGAGUUCAAUCACAAACUCACUUCUAUAGAAUUUGACACAGUUGUAAACAAUAAGGCAGAUGCUGAUGAUCAACAACUUAAGGAUAAAGGUGGUUAUUAGAGGAUUAUUGGCAAGCUACUAUACUUAACUAUGAACAGGCCAGACAUAGCAUUUAUAGUUCAAGUACUCAGUCAACAUAUGCAUACACCAAAGCAAUCUCAUUUGAAAGUCGCCAUGAAAGUGGUCAGAUACAUCAAGAAUGUACCUGGACUUGGACUCUUCAUGCCAACCGACAACACUUUGAAGCUAGCAGCCUACUGUGAUUCAAACUAGGGAGCUUGUGUCGAGACACGAAAAUCAGUUACUGGCUAUGUAGUAAAAUUUGGUGAUGCCUUAAUCUCGUAGAAAUCUAAGAAACAAGAAACUGUGUCUAGAAGUUCUGCUGAAAUUGAGUUUAGAAGUAUGGCUACUACUGUAGCAGAAAUUACAUGGUUGAUAGGUCUAUUCAAGGAAUUGGGAAGAGAGGUACCUGUACCAGUUAGGUUGUGUGAUAGUAAAGAUGCCAUUCAUAUUACAGCUAAUCCUAUCUUUUAUAAAAGAACAAAACACAUAGAUAUUGAUUGUCAUUUUGUAAGAAAAAAGAUUCAAGAAGGAAGAUUCAGACUCAACACGUUGGGACUAAAGAACAAAUUGCUGAUCUACUUACAAAGAGCAUGUGCAGACCACAACAUGACUAUAAGAUGGACAAGCUGGAAAUGAAGAGAUUGUAUUCAUCCCUCAGCUUGAGGGGGAGUGUGGAAGUUAGUGGUGAUACAACUGUCACUUAGCAAUGUAUAGUUGUCAGUUAGGUGUUAAGUUAAGUAGAGAAGAGUUAGUUGAAUUAGUUAUAUGUCAUUGUCAGUUAGUCAGUAUAUAAAAGAGUAAAAAGUCUGUAAAUACAAAGAGAUUUAUUAUCAUUUUGUCUCUGUACAGAGCUUAUCAAUAGAGCUAUUUCUCUCUCAAUCUUCUCUGAAAUUCUCUCUUAUUCGCCAUGGCUGACCUAAUCAACAAAAGAAUAAAAUAUAAUUAUUUAAUAGUAAAGAAGGACAAAACGAGAGAAAAAGCAAGGUAACGCGCCACCACACCAAAUUCGUCAUUACAUAAAGUGACACUUUUUAUCGUUAUGUAACGACGAAAUUAAUGAUACGGUACAAUAAAAUUUAAGUAACAAUAAAAAUAAAUAUUGUAUUUGAAGUAACAAUACGAUACAAUACCAUAGGUAAUAACAAAGACUUGUAAUGAGAUGGAUAGGAUCCGUCAAUCCUCAAUCAGAGGGAAACACUUCCACUUUUAAUGGGUCUGACAUGAUAUGAGUCCAGGUAACUUGAGGCUCCAAUACGGAUACCGAGAUGGAGACCAAUUUUUUUUUUCCAAAUUCCAACAUUAAGCUUUCUAUUAUAAAUAGAGUUUUAUUUAAGGUAAAUGUCUAUAUUUUAGAGAGAUUUUAGGGAUUAUUACUUGGUGGCUAAGUCACUUUUUUCCUAUAAAUAGAGGGGUUCUAUUUUAUUGUAAUUCAUCCCAAAUCAAUAAGAAUUCUCUCUCUUUCUUUGCAAUAUUCUCCUUUACUGUUUUAUUUUACGUUAUCAGCACGAGACUCUAUCGUCUCAAGAAGCUUUUUGAGAAGAUUAAGGUAUAACUUUUUUCCUCUUUUAAUUAUGACCGAUAUUAUGAAAAGAAAGUCUGUUGCCCUUGAAAUUUCGGUCAAGAACUAUAUGACAUGGAUGUUGGAUGCUGAAAUCCUUUUAGAUGCAAUGAGUCUUGGAUACGCCAUUAAAGAUAAAAAAAAGUAUCUACCCAAGACUGUGCUAAGGCCUUGAUUUUCUUGCGCCACUACCUUGAUGAAGGAUUGAAAAUAGAAUAUCUCACAGUCAAAGAUCCACUUAUUUUGUGGAAUGGCUUAAAGGAAAAAUAUGACAACUUAAAGUUGGUCACUCUUCCCCAAGCACGAUAUGAUUGGGCUCAUCUGAGGCUCCAGAACUUUAAGUCUGUUUCUGAAUAUAAUUCUGCGAUGUUCAGAAUUACUUCUAAAUUGAAACUUUGUGGAGAUACUAUCACUGACUAUGAUAUGCUUGAAAAACGUUCACAACGUUUCAUGCCUCCAAUAUGGUCUUGCAACAACAGUACCGAGAGAAAUGUUUCAAGAAGUAUUUUGAGUUGAUUUCUCUUCUCCUUAUGGCUGAACGAAACAACGAAUUGCUCAUAAGAAAUCACGAAAAUCGACCCACUGGGUCCACACCAUUGCCUGAAGUGGAUGGGGUGUAUUCUCAUUAUGCUAAGAGUGAAAAAGGUUGUGGCCCUAUUCGUGGUCGUGGUCAUGGCCCUGGACAAGGAAGAAAUUUUCUGGUGUUAAUCACCCCCCAAAGAAAAAUAACCACCAAAAGUGGAAAGGGAAAGAUGAGAAGCCAAAGGCAAAUGGUUCAAAAACUGAAUGUUAUCGUUGCGGUGGAAAAGGACAUUGGGCAAAUAUUUGUCGUACACCAAAAUAUUUGGUUGAGCUUUAUCAAGCAUCUCUAAAGAAUAGACCCUGAAGCUAAUCAUGUCUAUGACAAUGAAUUUGAUAUCACCCACUUGGAUGUGGCAGACUUCUUUGAGCACCCUGAUGGAAACAUAGAUCACUUGAUCGGUGAUGGAUCCGUGGUUAAAGAUGAUUGAGUAGUUUGCUUUUUUAUUUUUUUUAUUUUUGCCUAUUUGUAAUAGCUAGCUAAUAAACAUCAUGUAAUCAUAGUUCAUUACAUGAGUAGUAAUCAUUAGUAUCAAGUAGUAUUAUUUAUUUUAUGAAAUGGUGUUAAUUCGUUUUAAUUAAAUGUGAUAAUAUUAUUUUCAGUAUAUGGUUCAAAGUAAAAUAUUAUUGUUUCCUUAUUACUUGAGGCUUACGAAAGAAUAUUGUUUCUUUUUUCAAGUUUGUGAUUGAGUGGUUAUUAAUUUAUAGCUCAGGACUCACAAGGUUGAAGUGAUCAUACUUGGCUGAAUUGAGUAUUGUCUUCUUUGUGAAUAAUACCAGUCAAAAUUUGCAAAGUUGAUUAUUUUGUCCAGUAGUAUCAAAUCUUGUUAACUUCUUAUUUUUCAUAAUCAUGUUAAUUCAUCGAAUGAAUACUGUUACUUUUAUAAAAAAAUAAAAGAAUAAGAACAGUAUCACGUUAGUAAAACUAGUCCAAAUUGAAUUGGUUUCAAAAAAUACAAUCAUUACGGAAGAAGCAAUUUGAACAAGCAUAAAUAUUUCGUUCAAUUCCACGGUGACUACAACAGUGCUCGUUCAAUAAUAUAUUCGUUCUAUAUUCAUUUUGGUUGGAUCUCUAUUAUUGAUUUAACUUCGUUUUUUUCCUUUUUCUGUGAAAAUACUAGUGUUUAUUCAUAUAUUUCUUUUGUAUGUCAAACCAUGAGAAGCAAAUAUGGAUAUCUCAUAAAGCAAACUUGGGUCAAAGUUUAAUUGUAAAAAUAUUUAUUUAAUUGAUUCAUGUACGACACAUACAAUAUUUAAAAAGAGAAAAUAUUUCUCUCAAUUAAGUAUGUAUAAGACAAAUGUUACUACAAUUUCUGGUAAUAGUAAUCUAAUUGAAGGCUCUAGAAGAGUUACUAUAACUCUGCCUAAGGGAACAAUAUUUAUCAUAGAUAAUGCAAUGUUCUCCUCUAAGUCCAAGAGGAACUUGUUGAGUUUUAAAGAUAUCCGAAAUGGAUAUCAUAUUGAGACAAUAGAUGAGAAUAAUCUUGAAUAUCUUAUCGUUACCAAAAAUGUCUCUAGCCAGAAAAGGGUUACUGAGAAGUUCUCAUCUUUGCCUUAUGGCCUGUAUUGGACAAGAAUUGGUGCAAUUGAGGCACAUUCUAUUGUAACCCAAAAGGUUACUGAUUCAAUACUUUUGUACUUUGGCAUGAUCGAUUGAGACAUCCUGGAUUAAUUAUGAUGGGACGAAUUAUAGAAAACCCAAAUGAGCAUCCAUUAAAGAAUUUAAAGAUUCUUUUAAAUAUUGAAUUUUCUUGCACUUCUUGUUAUCAAGGUAAGUUAAUUAUUAGACCAUCACCAACAAAGAUUGGGAUUGAGCCCCCUGCGUUUUUGGAAAGUAUACAAGGGGACAUAUGCGGACCUCUUCACCCACCGAGUGGGUCAUUUAGAUAUUUUAUGGUCUUAAUAGAUGCAUCUUCUAGAUGGUCUCGUGCGUGCCUAUUGUCAUUUUGGACCUCACUUUUGCAAAAUUAAUGGCAAAAAUAAUUCGAUUAUGGGCGCAAUUCCUCAAUAAUCCAAUUAAGUCUAUUAGACUUGAUAAUGCUGCUGAGUUUUUCCCAAGCAUUUAAUGAUUAUUACUUAUCAAUUAGGAUAAAAGUGGAAAAUCUCGUAGCUCAUGUUCACACUCAAAAUGGUCUUGUAGAGUCUUUGAUUAAAUAUCUGCAAUUGAUAGCAAGACCGUUACUCAUGAAAUAAGGUUACCUACUUCUGUUUGGGGUCAUGCCAUUUUGCAUGCAGCAUUGUUCGUCUCAGGCCGACAAAUUAUCAUAAAUAUUUCCCGUUGCAAUUAGUUUUAGGUCAUGAAUCUAAUAUAUCCCAUUUAAGAAUUGACACUUUUUCCAAAAUUAGGGGGAGAAAUUGUUGAAACCAAACAUAAAUUUUGUGAAAAAAUCCAUCACUGUCUCAUCUUGAUCCACGUGCAUCUAUUUGUAAAAAGAGGUGCAAAAGAUUAUUCAUUUGCAGAGAAUAGCAAAUUAAAUGCCUGGCGCAUUUACGAAUCUAAAAAGAAUAACAAAAUCACAAAUCCCUGCAGAGAAUGUUCCAAUCCGUAUUGAUGUUCCUGUUGGACAAUCUUCUAGUGUCAUAUCUAAUGAGUCAAAAGCAUGCCUAAACGUCGCCGGCCAUUGGGUUCUAAGGAUUGAAAUCCUAGAAAAAGGAAAACAAAUGAUCAAGAUGCACUACGAAAGAGUCUCAUGAAGAAAUCCACGAUUUAACCAAUCCUGAGAUUCAUGAGGAAAUCACUGAGCUUGAGACUCAAGAAAAUAAGGAGCUAUCAAUAAAUCCAAUCGAUAUUGAGACAAAUUUGAAUCGAUUGGAUAUAGUGGUGGAUUAUAUCUUUGCAUAUAAUGUUGCAUCUAGCAUUAUGCAAGAUAGUGAGGAUCUUGAACCUCAAUCUAUUGGUGAAUGUCGACAAAGGCGUGAUUGUCCAAAAUGGCUAGAAGCAAUCCAAUCAAAGUUGAAUUCACUUGCGAAACGUGAAGUUUUUGGGCCCGUAGUCCAAACACCUAAUUGUGUUUAGCCUGUUGGAUAUAAAUGGGUCUUUGUACGCAAGAGGAAUGAGAAAAUAUAAGACACACUUGUUGCGCAAGGAUUUUCAAAAAGGUCGGUGUCGAUUAUGAAGAGACAUAUUCACCUAUUAUGGAUGCUAUAACAUUAUGUUAUCUCAUUAGUUUUGUUGUCUAUGAAAAACUUGACAUGAAUUUAAUGGAUGUGGUUACUGCCUACCUUUAUGGCUCACUUGAUAAUGAGAUAUACAUAAAAAUUUCUGAGGGAUAUAAAAUACUUAACGCACAUAAUUCAAAGUCCCGGGAAAUAUUUUCAAUCAAAUUGCAAAGAUCUUGUAUGGUCUAAAGCAAUCAUGAUGAAUAUGGUAUAAUCGUCUCAGUGAGUAUUUAGUAAAGGAAGGUUAUAUAAAUAAUGACAUUUGUCCAUGUGUUUUUAUAAAGAAAACAACAUCGGAAUUUGUGGUACUUGUCGUAUAUGUCGAUAACAUAAACCUUACUGAAACUCCUACAAAACUCCAAAAGGCAAUUGAUUAUUUAAAGAAGGAAUUUGAGAUGAAAGAUCUCGGAAAGACACAAUUAUAUCUUGGUUUGCAAAUAGAACAUUUGGCAAACGAAAUUUUUGUUCAUCAAUCUACCUACAUAAAAAAGGUAUUGAAACGGUUUUACAUGGAUGAAGCACAUCCGUUAAUUACUCCGAUGAUUGUUCGAUUACUUGAUGUGAAUAAGGAUCCAUUCCGACCUCAAGAAAAGAAUAAGAGCUACUUGGUCCUGAAGUAUCAUAUCUUAGUGUAAUUGGUGCACUAAUAUAUCUUGCUAAUACUACAAGGCCUGACAUAACCUUUUCAGUUAAUGUCUUAGCAAGAUAUAGCUCUGCUCCUACAAGGAGAUAUUAGAUGGAAUCAAACAUAUAUUGCUGUAUCUAAAAGGGACUACCGAUAUGAGCUUAUUUUAUGGCAAUAAUUGUAGUCCUGAUCUUGUUGGUUAUGCCGAUGCUAGGUAUUUAUCCGAUCUACAUAAGGCUCGAUCUCAAACAUGCUAUGUGUUUACCUGUGGAGGCACUGCAAUAUCUUGACGAUCGACUAAGCAAUCAAUCGUGGCUACUUCAUCUAAUCAUGCUGAGAUAAUUGCUAUUCAUGAAGCAAUUCGAGAAUGUGUGUGGUUGAGGUUUAUAAUACAUCUUAUUCGAAACAAAUGUGGUUUGAAGUGUGACAAACUACCCACGAUUUUGUAUGAAGACAAUGCAACAUGCAUAGUCUAAUUGAAGGGAGGAUUCAUAAAAGGAGAUAGGACAAAACACAUUUCACCUAAGUUAUUUUUUACUCAUGAUCUUCAAAAGAAUGGUGAUAUCAAUGUGCAACAAAUUCAUUCAAGUGAUAAUAUAGCUAAUUUGUUCACCAAGUUUCUACCGACGUCAACCUUCAAGAAGCUAGUGUACAAGACUGGGAUACGAAGGCUCAAGGAUGUGAAUUGAUGCUCUUAUCAGGGGGAGUUAAUGCGCGUUGUACUCUUUUUCCUUACAAGGUUUUGUCCCACUAGGUUUUCUUUGCAAGGUUUUUAACGAGGCAACCAAAAGACGUAUUGUUAGAUAUGUGUACUCUUUUUUCUUUACUAGAAUUUUUUUCCACUGGAUUUUAUUUUAGUUAAAGUUUUAACGAGGCACAUUAUCUGUUGAAUAGACAUUCAAGGGGGAGUGUUAUAAAUAGAGUUUUAAAAGAUGAAUGUCUAUAUUUUAGAGAGAUUUUAGGGAUUAUUACUUGGUGGCUAAGUCACUCUUUUCCUAUAAAUAAAGGGGUUUUAUUCGAUUGUAAUUCAUCCCAAAUCAAUAAGAAUACUCUCUUUUUCUUUGCAAUAUUGUUCUUUACUGUUUUAUUUCACUUUCCAAUUUUUUUAAAGAAAAAUAUCUUAAUAUACCAUCUUCCGACAAAAAUAAAAUGUUGACUCGUUUGUAAAUGACUGAAACGGACUCUUGAACUAAUAGGUCGGAGCUGAACUGAACCAAGUUGGAAGAACUAAUAAGUUUGCGAAACUCAAUCCAAAUAGAGCUCCAACACAACUAAAACCUCCAAAUCCAACUUCCCACUAUUUUUCUCAGAUUUCUUUCAUUCUCUGCAGAUCCAGAGGUUCAUUCAAGGCUUAAUUUUUGUGCCUCUUGUUUUUCUAUCUUUCCCACCUUUCCCUUUAACCCCAUUUACUUAAAAUAGUAAACUUUAUUACUUUCUGAAGUUCAUUUACUGUAAAAACAAGAACCCCAAAAAAGAAGAAGCAUAAAGUUAGUCACUUUUCAAUUUUCAAGAUUGUUAUUAGCAUCUGUAUAUCUCUUUUGGGGUUUGUAAAGAUUCAAUUUUUUCAAUUCUUGGGUGUCAAAAAACUAAGUAUUGGAAGGUGGGGAGGGGGGUGGGGAGUUUUGGUGGGAGGGGGGGGGGGGUGAGGUAGGUUAGUGCAAUCUGUAAAGAUUCAAUUUUUACAAUUUUUGGGUGUCAAAAACUAAGUAUUGGAUCCACCUUGUGGGGAGAAGGGGUUGGGGUGGGGGGG